CCUGAAUAGGUUUCAUUUGUGUUGAGUUUAGUCCCCUUGAAUGUGGUAUAUUUUACAAAACUAGAAGCAUGAGUCGACUAUAGUCUUAAGACUCCCAACUGAAUUUCUUGAGGUGAUUGGAUAAGCAUGAAAGUCUUAUUAUUGAAAUGCUAUUUUUUAGAGAUAAAUAUUACAUUUAUUCAAGGGAGUUUUUCAAGGAUUUAUCUGUUGACUUAAUGAAGUUUAUCUUGUUGCUAUAAUAACUUAUAAGUAGGCUUCAUUCUUCUUUGGUAAAUCACUAUAGAGAGAGCUGGAAGAUCUUUACUUUCAUAAGUUUUUCUCAUUACCAACCUUUAUUUCUUUCUUGUGUUUAGAGCAGUUUUAGAGUGUCUUUGUCUACAGUUUUGCUAUGUUCUUGUGGUUAUUUUGUGACACUCUUUUCUGGUUUUUUUUUUAAAGUUUAUUGAUUGUAUUGUGAGGUAUUUGGGUGAGUGAUUUGUGACAAUUGAGGUCGGUAUUGGGACUGCAAUUAUUUCUUUGUGCAAGGGUAGAUUGGGCUUUAGCCAAUAAGUGAUCUAAACGAUUAUUGAAUAAAAUCAAUCACUAGGCGAGGCUCAGCAGACAUAGGACUGUUGUGUCUAAAUUGCAUUAACAAAGAUCGAUUGUGUCGAUUCUUUUCUACUUUUAUUUUUUUCACUGUCUGUUUUCAUUCUAACUGUCAUUACAAUGAACAUUAAGUAAAAUUGAUUUAUCCUAUCAACAAAGUAUUAUUUUUCAAUUGGUAUCAGAGCUAACUUCAAAAGUUAUUUGAAGGAGAUCUUAAGAUACGAUUUGCAAUAAUGAAGUCCAAGAAGAAAGUUCAUUCUAUCCCCAAUCCACCUUUGGUGAUUAAAGCAUCAAAUUCAAAAAAUGACAUUGAUGAUGGUGUAUUCAGUUAUAUGUUUAAGAACAUGGAACCACUAUGUCAAUUGAGCAAGUCAUUGAUAGAAGAAGCUAUCAUUCUCAAAGUAGAAAAACAAAAGCUCGAAAAUAUGGUCAAAGAGAAAGAUUAUGUAAAUAUUGGACUUAGAAAGAUUAACAAGAGAAAGAGUUAAAUGAUGACAAGGCCAUUCUCAAAAAAUAUGAAAGGUAAAGUGAAUGUAACAUAACUGUUGGGAUGUCCAAACCUGAUCAUAAUGCACUUGGUAAGAAACCUACAUCUCCUAUGAAUUUUGUUAAAUCUAAUGAGUUGGUUGCUACUUCUUCCUUUGAUAUAGAUAAAAAUAAUAAUGGAACAUAUGCUUGUUAUUAUUUUGGAAAGACUAGACUGUUGAAUUUGGUACCCUAAAUGUAGAAUUUUCGUCUAUCUACACUUGUAGUUUUUUUCGAAUAGAUUGGUUAAUAAAAUUAUUCAUAAAUUACAUUAAUACCAUUUGUAUAUUGUCCUCAUGUGAUUUUUUCAUGUAAAGUAAAAUAGAAGCAAAUAUUAGCUCACAGGUUGUCUAGUGUUUAAUUAUUGCUAAGCGACAUCACGUGGUUGGAUAGUAAUACAAAAAGACAACUUAUAUUAGUAGACGAACUUAAACAUGUCCUUAUUUUAAUCAGAAUAAUCAGAAAGGAGUAAAUCGAUUGAAAAACUAAUAUUUUAUUUAUUAAAACCAAUUGAGGAGAUACCUUGUCUUGGGCAUCGAAGUGAAUGACUCCUAGAAGAUAGAGACGAGGAUAUGACUGACUAGACUGACAGUACAUUAGACAGUACCAAAAGUAGAAUAGAUCCUAAAUUCGUUUAUGGAUUUAUUCACUUGUAACGUUCAUAGUGUGGCAUGGACUAUGUAUGUGUGACUCGUAUUCUUUGGUGUAAGUAAAAGCCCGAGUUCAAAUAGAUAAGGAAUCGAAAGCUGGUGCGUUGGGUAUACGACUUCUAUAGUAUAUAACAUCAUUUACAACAGUGGAAUUUAUAGCCCAAGAAAUGGAUAAAUAAUAUCCUCUCAUUAGCAUUACAUGAUAGAUGAAAAGUAAAUGUAGCCACGGGUUAUUUGUCUUUGUGAUGAACAACUUAAUUACUUCAUGAUAGUAAUUGACUUUUCAUGAAGGAAGUUUUAAUAGUUAUCAUUAGAUAAAAUAUGAUCAUAUUGGGAGAACAGAUUUAUCCCAAAAAGAUUAAGGAUAUCUUAUAAGCAUUGAACUAGCGUUGAUUAAGUUGCUUUCGUAAUGGUAUGUCAUUAGGGAAAGUAGAUUUAUGCCAAAGAGAUUAGGGAUAUCUUUGUAACACCUCUAACCCAUAUCCGUCGCUGGAACAGGGUUUUGGAGUAUUACCAUAAUUUAUAGAUCAAAUAUAGACAUUUCAUAUCACUUGACAUUCAUAUAAGAAAACAAACAUAAAUCAAUCAUAUGGUCCCUUAUAUGAGCCCUCAAGGCCCAGAAUAACACCUUCGAAUCAAGUCGGGACUAAAUCAAGAACUCAAAGAAUUUUUCGCAAAAUAUCAAAAAAAUUCAAGGUGCAGGGGACACACGCCCAUGUGGCAAGGCCGUGUGCUUCACACUGCCAAGAGACACGCCCAUGUCUCAGGCUGUAUGGGCAUUCGAAAUAGGGCACAAAGCUGUGUCCCAGCCCGUGUCCAUACCCGUGUAACUCUCUAGCUUAGGUCACACGGCCAAGUCACAAGUCCAUGCGCUAGGCUGUGUGAGCAUAAUAACUUGCAUUAAAUAGGUGCACAGGUCACACGGCCAAGUCACACACCCGUGUGCCAGGCCGUGUGAUCAAUUUUGAGCAUUUUGUUUUGAAAUUUUUAAGAUGAAGGGGACAGACAGCCAAACCACAUGCCCGUGCGUGAGGCCGUGUGUGACACACAGCCGAGGCGCACGCACGUGUCUCUGCUCGUGUAGACAAAAAUAGACCAUUUCCCAGACCAUAUUUCUCACCCAAAUUUGCCUUCCACCUACGUAAACAAUUAAACAUAUUUUCAAGCCAAUACAAAACAUUCAAAUCCAUUCAAAAUCAAGUCUUAUUGCAAUACCCCAAAAAUUUUUACAGUAAGAUAUUAUCCUUGAUAUAGUAAAAUAUGAAAAUAAAGUGACAAAAAGUGAAAUUUUGAGUUAUGUCAAUAUUGGGAAGUAUAUUAUGAUAUAUUAAUUCAAAAAAGGACUAAAUUGUAAAAGAGAAAAAAAUUUUGUUGCACAAGCGUAAAUACUCAAAAUUUGAGGGGUUAAAGUGUAAAUAUAAAAAAUUUAAAGGACUAAUAGUGUAAAUAUUUUAAGGGUGGAAUGAUCUAGAAACUAAGGAAAAUGGAUGAAUUAGGACAAAAUUGAAUAGGUGAAGAACUAUGAGAGACUAAAUUGCAAUUUUACCAAAUUAAAUGAUGACUCAAGGAUGAAAUUUUAAAAGAGAAUAAAGGGCAAAAUGGUUAAUUAGAAGAGAGAGAAAUCUAGAAAGUAAUAAUGAUGCUAGAGAUAUUUUGAUAUUUUAUAAUUAUUUAAUUAGAUAAAUAUUGUUUUAUUAAUAUUUUAAUAAGAUAUUUUAUUAUUAUUUUAUUAGUAUAUAAAGAAAGAAAGAUGAGGAAUUCUCAUCCAUUUUUCCCACGCAAAAUCAACGUGAGAAGAAGAAGAAGAAAAGAAGUUUUCAUUUCUUUCCAAUUUGGUCUUUUUACAAAAAAUUCACCAUUUUCACCAAAAAAAUCAAAAGAAUUUCCAUAGCUACCAAGAGAGAAAAAUGUUAAGAAGGCUAUCGGAAGUUAGAAUAUCAAGUUGGAUUCAAGAAAUGAAAGCUGAAGGAGAGAGAAAAUCAAGGUGAAAGUUGAAAUCAAUAGAAUAAGGUAAGAACAUCAUGAUUUCAAUAUAUUUUUAAGUUUGAUAUUAUUGAAAAAGUAUGGGAUUAAUGUUAAUGUAGAGUUUCCUUACAUAUGGUCCUAUGUUCUUGAUAUGUUAAUGAAGAGAAAAUAAGAGAAAGUUAUGAGAAAUAGUGUAGAAAAAGAAAAUAAGAGUGUUAUAAACAUGGUAAUUAAUAUCUUGCACUAAAACAGUAUUAGACAGCAGCAAUAGUCUAACUUUGAAAAAUCACCAAAAAUAGUAUAAAUCGAAUUAUAGGAUGAAUAAAAUAUGAAAUUAAAUCUUAUUGAGUCUAUUUUAUUAUAGAAUAAAUUGUGUAAGCAUAGAAUUGUAAAUCAUGAGAUAUAAUAAAUUUUGUGAGACAAGGUCAGAAUGAUUUUGGGUUCCCCUGUUCUGACUUUGGAAAAUCAUAAAAAAUUGGAGAACAAUAAUUAGGGGAUUAAAUUUAUAUUUUUAGAAUAUUUAAUGAGUCUAUUUUCAGGAUAAAUAAACGGGAACAUAAUUCGAAUUCUGUACGAGGAGAUAUUUAAUUUUUAGUGAAGAAGGGUCAGAACUGUCAGAUAGCCGAACAGGGAUAACUUUAAAGAAUAAACUGUACUUAUUGGCUAAACCAAAAAUUCUGAAAAUUUUAUGGUAAUAAUAUAUAUGAGUCUAGUUCCAAGGAAAAUUAGCAUAUCUUAAUUUUAAGUUCUAUAGCUCCAGAUAUAAAUAAUUUAGUGACUAUGACACAGAUGGAUAGCUUGAAUAUUCAUAAAAGUAAAUAAUAAAAAUUAUAGAUAAUGUUACUUACAAGUGUGUUUAUACAUUAAGGAUGUGGAAUGGAGAGGAGGGGGAGGAAAAUAUAUAUGAAUAUUCAGCUAGCAUGGCUAAUUUGCAUGUUUUAGGCUUAGAGACUAAAUUGAAUAAAAGUAAAACUUCAGGGGGAAAUUUUGUAAUAAUGUCAAAAAUGACCAAAUUGAAGGGAAUGAAUUGUUUUAUUAUUUAAUUAAUAAAUUGAAUGAAAUUAUCAAUUUAAGAUUGGGUGAAAAUUGAGAAAAUAGUAAAUUACCAAAAUGCCACUGAAUCUUGAUAUUUUUGCAAUUUCGCCAAGUAAGUUCGUGUAACUUGAAUUAUAUUCUUAAAUGCUUGAAAUGUAUGUUAUUGAUGUGAAUAUGAUUUGAAUAUGAUUUGAAUAUUCAUUGUAUGAAAAUUGAUGAAACAUUGAUAUAUUUGAUAAAAAUGGAAAGAAAUCUCAGUUGAAUGAAAGGAAAAUUUGAUGGAUCUCUGAAAAGGAAUUAAUGGUAAAACCCGGUCGGGUGAUCCUAUCCUGUUAUAGCCCUCCCGAAGAAUAUGUGUAAAAUGGAUUUAGCCCGGACAGGUAAUCCGAAUUAGGGUCUGAAUUUAGCCUGGACUGGAAAUUCAGAUCCAAGCUCAUUAGAGUAAUUGUUGUUGCAGGGGAUUUAGCCUGGACUGGUAAUCCCAACAAUACUCUAUGAGUUUAUAUUACAGGGGAUUUAGCCUGGACUGGUAAUCCCGCUGUAAGGAUGAGGUUCGCUGGAGUGUGCUCUCUGAAAUGAAAUAUGUAAGAUCAUGGUUGAAAGAUACCAUAGCAACAUGAUAUGAAAUGUGUAAGACCAUAGUUUAAAGAUACCAUGGCAACAUGAUAUGAAAUGUGUAAGACCAUGGUUGAAAGAUACCAUGGCAACAUGAUAUGAAAUGUGUAAGACCAUGGUUGAAAGAUACCAUGACAACGUGAGAUGAAAAGAAUAAGACCAUGGUUGAAAGAUACCAUGGCAACAUGACGGGAAAUGAAUAAGACCAUGGUUGAAAGAUACCAUGGAAACAUGACAUGAAAAGAAUAAGACCAUGGUUGAAAGAUACCAUGGCAACAUGACAGAAAAUGAGUAAGACCAUACUUGAAAGACACUAUGGCAUCAUGUCAAAAAUAAAUAAGACCGUGGAUGGGAGAUGCUAUGACAUCUGUUGAAUAAUUGAUAUUCAGGUAAUAUGUAUUAGAUGAUGAAUGGUUAAAUGAAAUGGUUGUGUGAAAUGUUUACAAGAACUGGUCAUAUGAAAAUAUAUGUACAAAAUAGUUGUAUGAAAUAAUUAUGAAGAUAGAUAAACGAAAUAAGUAUAAGUACAUGGAAUAUAAUUUAUGUUAAGUUUGAUAUAAACUAUUGCCGGAAUAAAUAUACAUAAAAUAUAUGGAAAUGAUGGAGCAUGAAACAUUGAUAUAAUGAAAUGAAUGAUAUAUACUUAUGAAGAAACGGUAAGAGAAUAAUAUGUUUUAUGACAUGUACAUAUAUGAUUAUCUUUGAUAUGUUGAUACAAGAAAAUUAUGUAGGUAAAGACAAUUAUUAAACUCAAGUGUGACAUGUUGAGAAAAUAAGUAUAUCAAUGUUGAAUUUAUAUGAAAUAUGUACUAGUAUACUAACAAUGUCACUGUUUGAUGCCUAUACAAGUGCCAAGCUGUUGAUUGAAUGGUAAUAUAUUUAUUUAUAUGAUACAUUGAAUCGGUAAGUAUUUAAUCGAAUGUUUUUUAGGUGAUCUGCAAAUUCUAGUAAUGCCCCGAAACCCUGUUUCGACGUCGGAUACGGGUUAAGGGUGUUACACUUAUACAUGAUAUAAUACCUCUUAUAACCAAGUAUACAGACUUACCUAACUUACCAAAUUCAUAUAUAUGCAUUUUUUACCAAAUAUGCUAACUCAAUUUAAUCAUUAAUAUACCAAUGUGAUUCUAUCAAUCAACCAUUUCAAACACAUAUCAAACAUGAUAUAGCCUCUUAUAUUCACAUCAAAACGUGUCCAUCACAAGCCAUUUCAAUGGCUAGUUACAACCAAAACAUUUAUAUGCCAACAUUGGCCAAGUUAACCUAUACAUGCCAUUAUAACCAAAAUUGAUUUAUUAAAUAUACCGAGAUGAGCCGAUGGAUAGUGUGAUGAUAUCUCCGCCAAGUUUCCAACCCAAUGAGCUUCCGAAUUACUAUAGAAUAGAGGAAAAUAAAAUAGAGUAAGCAUAUUAUGCUUAGUAAGUUUGUAUAAUGAGAAAUUAACUUACCAUUCAUUUACAUUUAAAGUAAGCAUGCAAAAUUCAUCCAAAGAAAAUUGGCAAUUUGCCUAAACACAUAUAACCUCAAGAAACAUGUUAGUCAUGUACUUCAUGUGAAUAUCAAGAAACAAGGAUGAGUUUAUCAUGUAACAAUUUUCAUAUACAUAUGUUUUCCACAUCAUAUAUUCAUAUAACGUAUACAUUUCCAUAAUAAUUCAUCUCAAGUUCAGAUUAUUACAUGUUGAAACUUUGCCCAUUGAAUUUAUUUGAAAUUCGAUGGAUGCAUAGGUAGUACACUUGAAGUGUACAAAACUGUAAAUCCUUCAAUUCAUAUUCGGGAAUGCUCAUACGAGCACAUAAACAGGAAGCUCUCUCUCUCUCAAGCCAUAUAAUGGGAAGCUUAUUUGGGCUGUAUAACGGGAAGCACAUAAGAGCCAUAUUCAGGAAGCUCAUGCGAGCCAAUAACGGGUAGCUCCUGAAGAGCCAUUAAUCAAGAAGCUUCGGAUAACCAUAUAUCAGAAAGUUCAAGCAAGCCAUAUCGAAAAGCUCUGGAGAGUCAUAUAUCGGGACGCUCAUAAGAGCUGUGGUGUGCCUACAACACAUGCAGAGUCACAACCAAUCGGGAUGCUCCAAAGAGCUAUUAACGGGAAGCUCGCAAGAACCAUAUAACGGGAAGCUCGAGAGUAUCAAAUAUCGGGAUGCUCAUGAGAGCUAAUAACUUGAUGCUCUUUCGAGUUAUGGUGUGUCUGCAACAUAUGCAGGACCACAAACAAUUUGGGAACCCAGUAUCCAUCGAAUUUCAUUUAUUCAAAUGGAACUUAAUACUUGUCAGGAAUUAUCGAAUAUGUGACCGAUUUUAAUACAUGUCAAUUAUACAAUACACAUACAUAACAUUCAAUUCAAACAUAUAAUUUUUAAAUUUAGUUACACGAACUUACAUUGAGAAGUGUUUUUGUAAUAUACUAAUCCGAUUUUGUAUUUGGUCUAUCCGGAUCUAUACAAGUAAAUUUAGCUCAAUUUAAUACAAUUCAUUUUCAAUUCAAUCCAAUUCACAUCUUAGGAAAAAUUACCAUUUUGCCCCUAUACUUUCAUUUAAUUAUGAUUUCGUCCUUAGGCUCAGAAAAUGAAAUUCAUGCAAUUUAAUCCUUAUUCCAAGCCUAGGUGAAUUUCAUAUGUCACAAUAACAGCCCAUGUAUUUCAUAAAUUCAAAAAUUUUCCAUGAAUUUUACAUCUUUUCAAUUUAGUCCCUAAAUCGCGAUUUCAUUAAAAUUCACUUUACAAAAGUUGUUUAUCUAUCAACAACAUUUCAUUUUCUACCAUAAAACUUCAUAAUUCAUACAUAUUCAUCCAUGAAAAAACCAUAAUACUUUGAUAACUUUACAAAUUAAUCCCCGAGAUAGCUAGAUUAAUCUAUUUCGAUAUUGAAAAUAUGAAAAUUAUUAAAAACGGGACAAAAAAACACACCUAAUUAAGCCAAAAUAGCUUGCUUGAGUUCAACACCCAUAACUAGGGUUUCGAUGUCUUUAAUUUGGGAAAGAUGAUAUAAAAUGAUGAUAUUUUCUUUAUUUAAUCAUUUAUUAUCUUUUAUUAUUUUUACUUUCCAAUUUAGUCCUUUUUUUUAUUUAAGUUUCCUAUGAUGAAUCAUCAUACUUAUCUACUAACUCCUCUUAAUGGUCUAUUUGCCAUAUAAGGACCUCCAAUUUUGAAUUCCAUAACUAUUUGAUACUUAUAGCUACUAGGACUCAACUUUUGCAUUUCAUGCAAUUUGGUCCUUCUAUCAAUUAAACAUGUAAUCGGUAAAAUUUUCUUAACAAAAUUUUUAUAUGAUAUUCCUAUCAUACGGUAGACCAUAAAAUAAUUUUAAAAUAAAUUUUCUUAUGGACUCGGAUUUGUGGUCCCAAAAUCACUAUUCCGGUUUAACUGAAAAUAGGCUGUUACAAUCUUAUGAGGGUAACCUAAUUAUGACAAGGUCAUUGAAUGAGUAUUGAUUGAGUUGCUUUCGCAAUGGUAUGUCAUUAGGGAGAGCUCAAUCACGAUACUAUAGUGGAAUGACUUCGUGACUAAAUGAGUUUAUAAUUAAUAGAUGAAAAGUUGGAUUUUAUUACCUAAACCCUAAACCCUAAAACCCUAAACCAUAAACACUAAAGCUUAAACCCUAAACCCUAAAGCCUAAAACCCUAAAUCCUAAACCCUAAACAUUUGAGCCCUAAUCAUAUAUGUCCAACCAGUCCUUCCGCUAGCUCACUGAAAUCGAAAAUGAAUUGUGUGUUGAAUCAAAUGAACAAAAAUAGAUAGAAAUGGUAAAGUUAGAGAAAUGAGAAACAUUAAGAUGAAUGUGAUUUUCUCUAAAUGGAAAUGACCUAAAAAAUUAAUUUAUGGUUUUUCGAAUUAUAAAUUAAUAAUUGAAGUUCGAAAAUGGAAUUAAAUUAAUUAGUCAUAGUGAAUUCGUUGAAUGUAGAAAUAUUAAAUAUAUUUUCUCAUAGAUUCUUUUACGGUACAAUUGUCAUGAUUUUAACAAAAUUAGAAUCGGGUUGAAAAAAUUAUUUAAUUGAGGAAUUUAUUUAUUUAUUUAUUUAAAUUAAUUUAUGAUGUUUAUUUUGGGAAAUAAAAAAACAAAUAUUGGAUUGGAUUGAAUUAUAAAGUACUAGGUUAAAAGUCUAUGAAGUAUUUAUAAUUGGACACGGUAUGGGAGAGGCCCAAAAGCCUCUCAUGUUAAUACAUGGGACGAGAAACCCUAGUUUAUUUAACUAGGGUUGUUGCCCCUCUCUCUCCUAGUUGAGCUAGGAUUUUGUUUUUCUAUUUAAAUAAGCUCAUACUAAUUCAACAAGGGUUUAACAUUUUCUUCCUAUAAAUAGAUGACAUUGUAGGGCUAAAAACAUAUCUUUGAGAUAUUGUUAUUUUGCCCGAAAUAGUGUUAAUUUGUUUUCUAAGACUAAAUUUUAUUUUCCAAAAUAACAAUUUUACUUGUUUCUGUUAAAGAGAGAUUUACUUUCUCACUAAAAGUAAAGUAAAUAAUUUAUGGUUCUCUAUUUGAUUCGAAUUCAAUCAAGCCCACACUCGAAGUAGUUCAUGGUAUAAGAAUAGCAGAGAAGGUAAUUCAGUUGAAAGUCAGGAAUGACAAGGAUCCGUCUAGCCGGAAACAUAGGUGCAAUUUCAUAAAGAGUUUAUUGUUAUGAAUAUAAAAAAAAUCGGUUCGAUUUUUAAAAUUUUAAAUAUCUGUUGUGUAAGAAAACUAUUUUGUUAAUGAUAUAAUGCACUUGGUAAGAAACCUAUGAAUUUUGUUAAAUCUAAUGAGAUGGUUGCUACUCCUUCCUUUGAGACAAAUAAAAAGAAUAAUGGAAAACAUGUUUGAAAAAAUGAACAUGUUAGAUGUCAUUGUUACAAAUUGAAGAAUGAUCAAAAAAGAAGUAUGUAACACCCCUAACCCAUAACCGUCGUCGGAAUAGGUUAAGAGGCAUUACCGGACUUAUAACUCAGUUCAGUACAAUAAUUUAUCAAAUAACAUUACAAUUCAGUAAAUAUCACUCAUUCACAUUCAUUAUAUACCUAAAUCAAGCAUACAAAGCCUUAAUUAUCCAUUCGAGACUAAAUUGAUAACAUAUAAAAAUUUUAGAAACUUAUAAAAUUUUCAACCUUUCAAGUGUCACACGCCCGUGUGAACAAGCCGUGUGUCUCACACGGCUAGUAGACACGCCCGUGUCUUAGACCGUGUGAAAAUAGGGCAUACAUUCUGACUUGCACCACACGGCCAGAGACACGCCCGUGUGCCUUGGCCGUGGUCGAAACUGACUUGGGUCACACGGCUGACUACACACCCGUGCGCUAGGUCGUGUGUCAUUUAGGGGGUAUAUUGACUUAUGUCACACGGUCAAUCACACGUCCAUGUGUAAACCCAUGUGACACACAUGGCCAAUAGACACGCCUGUGUGUCUAAGCCGUGUCAAACCUGUAGGGUAUACUGACUUAAUUUGUAGGGUACCCCAGGGGACAGACGGCCAUGUAACUUAACUGUGUGUCACACAUAGCUGAGAGACACACUUGUGUCUCUUCUUGUGUGGACAAAAAUAGGCCAUUUGCAAAGCCAUUUUUCCACCCUAAAAAUACAAGCAUUUACAAACAUAAUUGACCACAUUUAUACAAUUCAAUUGACAACCAAAAUAACCAUUUCAAUACACAUUAUAAGCCAUAUCAAAACUUAUCAUUUACAUAUCCAAAUACCUAUUUAACCACAUGUAUAAUCCAUUCAUCUAACAUCUAUUUAUCAAGACUUCAUUUGCAUAAUUUCACUCCAUCUUUCCUUGCUAAAACAUACCAUAAUUGAACACUUCAAUUCAACCAAAAUAUAACAUCAAAAUAUGCCAAAUCACAUAGCUCAACAUAUACACAAAAAUAUGCCAAAGUCAAGAUAUCAAGUAGCAUAACUAUCAUCCCUUAAACUAGCCUAUACUUGCUAUAUUUACAAAUUUACAAGUUCAAAAGUACCAAUCAGAAUUUGGAUAGUGUGAUGUGCAACUCCGACUUGUCCUAAACAAACGAGCAACGAGCCUCUAUAAAACAUUGAAAAAGAAACAGAGUAAGCUUUAUAGCUUAGUAAGCCCGUAUAAUUCAGAAUUAAACUUACCAUUUAUACAAAAUCAAGCAAUAAAUAAAAAUGUCAAUAAUUCAAUUUAACCAUCACCUAUUCACACAUAGUCAUCACAUGUUAGUCAUUUAACAUAAACAUAAACCAUCCAUUACUAUAAUACUCUAUAUUAUUCCAAAAUUCACAUAUCAUACAUAUAACAUUAAUAUCACUUAUAACCCGUAACUUAUCCGUAUAAAUAGUAUUUAAACCCAUUGAACCUAUUAGAACUUCAAAGGAUAGUUGAGUGAACAAUGUCAAUAAUCUAUCAAUUCAUCAUCAUACAUGCUCUUUCGAGUAAUGGUCGGUAAGCUCCUCCUGAGCUGAUAAACAGUAAGCUUUAUUGAGCUGAAAAUGGUCAGCUCUAUUGAGCUGAACAGUAAGCUCUUUUGAGCUGAAUCUGUAAGCUCCAAUGAGCUGAAAUAGUAAGCUCUUACGAGCUGAAUCAGUAAGCUCAUACGAGCUGUGGUGAGUCCGCAACAAAUGCAGGAGCUCAACCAAUAUGGUAAUCUCAAUAAUAUGUCAUCGUAUACAAUAAAUUCAUAUAGUUCAAACGGGGCUCGGUAACAAAUACAAUAUAUCAUCAAGGCAUUCAUAUUUCAAGUAUUUCAAUUAUAUACAUUCAUUUCAACAAAUACAAGUAUAGAAAAGUUUUAUUCUAAUUAUACAAACUUACCUUGAGCUGCUCGGAUGAAAACUAUCGUCUAUUCGCCAACAUUUCUUUUUCUCUGAUCUAAUUCCGGUAUUUGCUUAUCUUGAUCUAUAUGAUAUCAAAUUAACUCAUUGAAACUUUUAUUCAAUUCAAUUUAGCCUAAACAUUCAUUUUGGCUAAAUUAAAAAUUUACCCCUAAACUUUUGACUACUUUGUAAUUUAGUCUUUAACACAUAAAAUUGCAAAUUCAUGCAAUUUAAUACCAACCAAUGUCAAGCAAAAUUUCCUAUAUACUACUAGCAGCCUAUAUCUUUCAUUAUUUCACACUUUUAACUACAAAAUUUUGCAAUUUCACAAUUUAAUCCCUAUUUUACAUUUUUGUCAAAAGUCACUUUACAAAACUAGUUCAACUAUCAUCAAGCUCCCAUAAUCUAUCAUUAAAUAUCAAAAAACUCAAGUAUUCAACAAUGGAACAUUUCAAAAUCAUGAACAAAUUCAAAAAUUAAGGUAUGGGCUAACUAGAUUAAGCUGCAACGAGCUCAAAAACGUAGAAAUCAUUAAAAACCGAACUAAAAUAGUCUUAGAUGCUCAAGGUGAAGUGACCGAAUAUUUGAAGCUUAAAAAUGGCUAUUCUUUUCCAUUCCUUCAGUUGGAGAAGAUGAAUGAAGAAUAAAAAUUUUCAUUGUGUUUUAGUUAAUAAAUCAUAAUAGCCAUUUUACUAUUUUAACCUUUGUAAUUUAACAUAAAAAUCAUGAAAUUUAAGUCCCUUACCAUCCACUCAUGUUAUUAGUGAGCUAAUUUCAAACCAAGUACUCAUAAAUUUUAAUUCUAUAGCUAUUUAAUACAUUUAAACAAUAGAACUCAACUUUUACGCAUGACGCGAUUUAGUCCUUUUUACCAAAUUGAGCAUUUAAACGGUAAAAUUUCUUAACAAAAAUUUUACAUAAUUAAUCUAUCAUGCUGCAAACCUUAUCAAAAUAAUCAAAUAAAUAUUUUGACUUCGGAUUUGUGGUCUCAAAACCACUGUUCAGAUUUGACCUAAAAAGGGGCUGUUACAAAGUACAAGGAACGCUAAAUCUAAUGUUGCAAUAAUUAAUGGAAGAACAUCUAGACAACAACAUAUAUGUAACAAGGAGAAAUGAAAGUUUGUAUGCCAUUAAUGUGGGAAAGGACACAUCAUACCUUACUAUUUUAAGAUGAUGCGAGAUUGGAAGACGUUUAGCUCAGUUGCCAAAUAUGUUCGACCAACAAAUAGAACAAUAGACCACAAAAUAGGUAGAUUUGGGUAAAGAAGGAUUGAGCACUGAAUAAUUAAUAUCAACAUUUGAUUGAUGUUUGUGUAACUCAUGAUGACCAUAUUAAAAAUAUAUCGAAGAUUGGAGAAACAUCAUCUAGGUUUUGUGAAAAAAACCAUUGUUGUUCCUCGAGCUACAACUCCUCUUGUUAAUAAGAUAGCAUUUGAUCUCAUCCCCUCUAAACACCAUGAAACAAGCCGAUAGAGAUGAAUAGACUAAGGGGGAUGUUGAUUUGGUGAUCUUGUGUACUUUGAUUUCACUUAUGGUUGAUUUCUUUUUGUUGCACUUUUAACAUAGUUUUCAAAAAGAGGGAGAAAUGGUAGUAGCAAAAGAAAUAUUUUUUCUUAGCUAUGGUUGCUACAUUCUGCUCUAUUAAAGGGAGAGAUAAUGUUGAUUUUUAAAAAAGAUGAUGUUGAUAUGCUAUUGUUUAUUUAUGAUCAUGGUACAUGCUUAAUUAAUUAUGUGAUAAACAAACAUGUCGAUAGGGGAGAGUGUGAUCGAGCAUGGUUCUACCUCUUAAGGGGAGACAUAUACUAAUUCCCUUGUUAUGUAGAUUGUUUGGAUUGUGGGCUAACCAUUUGCUACAGGGUUUUGUCAAAAAUUCCAAGGGGGAGUGUCUCAAAAUAAUUCGAUUGAUGUGCAAGUAUACACAAUCAUUGACAAGUACUAAAGGAGUGAGUAAAAGUUAUCGUCUCCAUAGAAAUUGUUUAUGUAAAUCAAGUAUUGCAAAAUUAAUUACUAAGCAAAUUGGUCGAUGAUGAAAAUAAAUUAAAGUGAUGGAUUUCUAAUUAUACUAAACUAACCUAAGUAUGCUUAAAAUUAAAUUAAAGAAAGAAAGAAAUAAGUAUGCAAGUUUUUAUGAGAAAUCAUAAUAGAAUGCAUGUGCUAGAAUAAUUUUUCUUUCUAACUUAGAGAUAUUUAAAUAAUGCUAAUGAUGUUACAGAAAAAUCCAUGCUAACUUAGCUAUUUAUUAACCCGAUUUUAAUUACGAGUACUUUGACUUCUCUCGAAGUCUUAUGUUUUAUUUAGAUUUAUUUAGCUAGCCCAUAUAAAGGCCUUUGCAGUGUACACAAUUAAUUCAAUUCAUUCUUAUUUAACUUCUCUUUUAAGUUAAUAAAUUCUCUUUGAGUUUUUUUUUCAAGAAUUUCUCUUGAAUUUCUUUUAGAAGAGUUUUAACAAUCUUUUCAAAUUGUGGGGAUCAUCUUCAAAAUUUUUCUUGCCAAGUUUUCUAUCUUGGAGUGGAAAUUAGAGCCGCUUGAAGGGGGUUAUGGAUUCUUCAUGUUUCCUGGGUUUCUUAGGACUUCUACAUAUCAUGUUCUAUUUUUUCAUCUAUAUUCUUUAUUUUCUUCUUUAUUGUUCCAAUCUUUGAUUUAUUAUCCUAUUUAUUUAUCUUAUUUAUUUGUUUGUUUGUUUUAUUUGACAUGGAUUUGAUUAUGUUUCAGGUUGUGUCAAAAUCAAAGUUACUUUCCAAACGUCUAAAGCUCUAAGUCAAAUCCACGAGUUCAACAAACUUUAUGAUCUGCUUUGCGUUCAUGCACACCCAUUCCUUAUCAGUUACCUUUUUAGGCAUCGUCUAAUAAUUCAUACUUAUUAAAUUAUUAACUCUAGCAUAUGUCUAGCUCAACAACUUAGUAUGUUCAAUAAGCAGAAAAUAUAUUAUGCGAGGUAACACUAAUAUUUUUAUAAUGAACAGUUUAAUCACAUAAAUCCUAAGGUUAUACAAGGUAAUAAAGUUUUUUCGAUAUUAUUACAAAUCUCACCUAAUAUUUUCAUAAAUAGAUCAAACAUGCACCAUUCAAAUAUUGUGUCAAUUAAUUACAACUUGGUUCUAAUUUAAUAAUUAAUUCAAUUGCAUCCCUACAUUUAUAAAGCACGAAUGACAUAUUCAUGGUUUUAUCUAAAUGAAUAAGCAAUUGAGGCAAAUAACAUCAUUGAUAGAAUUAAAUAAUCUAAGCUACAGAUUUUGAAUCAUUCUAACAUUGAAAAAAUUAAGCAACCAUGAUUAUAUUAAAAGCAAAAAACUUAGUUGCAAUCAUGUUUCUUGAAUUGAACAAAAAUAUAAGAUUGAAGGGAUAAGAAAUGCUAAGCUGUUUCUGGUGGUUCUCUAAGGCACAGCUCACUUCAGUCCUCCUUCGCUCUUAGCCUCUUUUCUUGAUAACCAAGCUGAAAUGCUCCUAAUAUGGCCGAGUGGGGCUACUCUCAAAGCCUUGCAAAACUCUUUAAAGAGUGGGAAAAUAUUGAGAGUGAAAGAAAAGAGAAAAGAGAAAAGAGAGAAGAGAUGGUGAAUAAAGGAUAAAUGAAAUGGGAGAAUGGCAAGGGGCAUUUAUACUUGUGAGAAGCCUUUGAGUUUGGUAAAAAUAGCAUGUCAAUCCCCCCUUGUUCUCUCAUGCAUGAUCGGCCACCUUGAUUUAAGGAAGGAUGGUGGAUGACUUAGCUAAUCCAAGCUUGAUUCAUAGGAGGGAGUUGAAUGGUCACUUGAGGAAUUUGUUGGGGCUAUUUUGUGAUUUUUAAAAAUUCUUAGAGUCUAAUUUAAUUAAUUUAUGGACAGUUGGGCUUCACAUAGCCGAAUUUGGGCUAUUUCCUCCUUAAUGGAUGGUUUGGGCUUCAAAUUAAGAAGUAGACUUGUCCACUUCAAUGAUCCAAUUACGAGUUGAGCCAAAUUGAAUUUAGAAGUCCAAUAAAUAUUUUUAGGAUGCACCAAGCUGAUCAACCAUCAACCCAUGUCUGCAUGGCCUUUGCUGCAGAGAAUGCUACAGUAUCGAGCAUCGAACAGGUGAACUUCCAAAUGAACUUUUCUCCUUUUUACCCCAAAGUGGACCAGUUUAGCAAAAAAUAUGUAAAAUUAGCAUGAAAAGGAGUAAUAUUACAAACUAUCUUUAAUUUUGUCCUAUUUUCAAAAUUUUUAGUAAAAAUACAAAAUUUUCUAUCAAAACACUCAGAAUUUGCAUGAAUUACUAGUCAGAAUGUGCUAUAAAUUUCUAUAUAAUUUAGAGUUAUCAGGGAGGUUGUUGGGAAAGUUGUUGAUGCUCGUUCCAUGUCCUUUUAUAACGAAAUUGUCUCUCUACUUGAGCCAUCGACUUGGGCCUUAAAUAGGUUUUGUUUUUGUUGAGUUUGAUCCACUUGAAAGUGACAUAGUUGGUAAAACUAGAAGCAUGGACCGACUAAAGUGCUAAGACUCCUAACCAAGCUACUUGAGGUGAUUUGAUAAGCAUGAAGGUCUUAUUAUUAAAAUGCUAUUUUUUAGAAAUAGGGAUAUUUUCAAGGAUUUAUUUGUUGAUUUAAAGGAGAUUAUCUUGCUACUAUAAUCACGACAAAGUGGAAACACAAAAAUUAUAUACUUUUUCAUACCUAAUUCUACUUAAAUUCAUGCAAAUUCGGUUAAAUUCUUGUCAAAAAAAUAAUUAAAUAUUACCAAAUAAUUAAAUUAUGUUAAAAAUAUGAACAUUAUGAAUUUUAAUUAAUUUUUUAGUUAAUGUUGAUUAAAUUUGGUUAUUUUUUACAGAAUUACACAAUUGGAGAAAAAGGGCCCGGUGAACACUGCGAGAAGAACAAAAUCGAGAGCAAUUUGAAGUAUCGAGGCCAAUUAAUUUCCAGCCCAAGACGGUCCAGAAAUGCGUAUUAAUUCAUAAUUAAAUUAAUUUUAAUUUAUUUCCUAUUUAAUUUAGGUUAAAUGAAUUAAUUUUAAUUAAUUAUGAAGAAAGGGCCUAGUGAACCGCACUGGUUGAACCGAAUGAAGUGAGCCGAACCAGCCACUAAUUGCGCUGACCAGAACCGUCCAUUGGCUGAUCCAAAUCAGAAAAUUAUCUGAUAAAAUAUUCUUGCAAAAAGGCCAUUGAAAAACCUCCAAAUUAUGUUCAAACCCCACCUUUAUUUUAGGCUUUGUAGAUUUGCCACAGCCUAUUUUUAGCAAGGUUGAAAGCUUCAACCUUGCCAAGUGUGUGGCCAGCCAUGGGAGGGCUCUCUUGGCUGCUGAAUUUGCUAUUUUUAGAAGCCCUCUUCAGUUAUAAAAGCCACCCUAUGCUGCCCAUUUCAAAGCAUCCCUCAACAUCCCUCAUUCCACAACAUUCUCUCAUCCUCUCUUCACUUCUCUCAAAGUUUCCUCUCCAUUUUUCCAUCCCAUUUUCCCUUCCUCCUGUGCCGAUUUCCUCUCUUGAUAAAGAGGUGUUCUUCAGCCAUCUUGGGCAGCAAUCAAGGAUUCAUAGAAGCCUUUCUUGGCGAAGACAACGGAGACUAAGAACGGAGCAACAGUCAAGCUGCAGAGAAACAUUGGAUUUGCUUUUUGUUCCCUUUCUUUUUAAUUUCUGUUGUUUUUAUGAUGAACAUAUCGAUGAAAAAUAUUGUUUUUAAAAUGUUUAUUUUAAUCAGUUUAGCUUGAAUUUAAUUCGUGUUGGGUUGAUUAUAUUUUGCCUACUUGAAUUAUUAAAUUAGUGUUUAUGCUGUUAUAGGCCUCAGUGAAAUGUUUGAUUAAGUAAAAUCAUGUUUAGGUUAUCUGGCAUUAUAAUUGUUUAGAUAACUAAAGAAUUAAUUGUUUAAACGGAUUGAAAUUGCAAUUAAUGGACUCAGUACUUAAUCAGUGCAUGUUUAAUUCUUCUAAGGUAACUGAAAAUUAAAUUAGCAUUGUAUUUGGUGAUACAUAUGCCUUGCAUAACUUGCAAGAUUGUUGUGAUUAAAUUGUUUCAAGGUAUGGAUACUUUGUUACUUCACAUAAUCUUUUACAUGUUUAUUAAAUUGAAUUAAUCAGUUGAAUCGACAUAGGAAUAUGCGAGAGAUAAUUUAAUUCAAUAAGUAUGUAUGUGCGAUAGCAUAUUUACUUUAUUAAAUCUGUUUAGUCGGUUGAAUUGGCAUAGGGAUAUGCUCAAGAGAUAAAUGGAAUUUUUUAAUUAGUAAAUAUGUUCAUAAGUUAGCAAAUUACCGGGUUGCCGUGAAUUUAUUCAUAACAGCGUAAGCACGAAUUUAAUAUUUCUAAGUGAAAAAGGUAUAAUUAAUCCAACACAAUAAUAUCAUCUUGAUUAAAUCUUAAUUGAAAUCGUGCACAAGAACUCUUUUAUUUUAUUUAAAUUGUUUGCUUAGUCUUAAAAUCUUAGUUUAUAAAUCACUCUUUUCAAACCAAAAUUAUUUUUACCUCACCAAAGUGUUUUAAUUAAUUUCAUAAAUAGUGCUUUUUACAGUCCCUGUGGGUACGAUAACUCGACAUUUACUCGUCACUUUAUUACUUGUUACGAUUGUGUACACUUGCACAUUUCCACCGUUCCAAGUUUUUGGCGCCAUUGCCGGGGACUGUUUUAAAAAAAACAUUAUUUGUGAAUUUAUUUUUACAUUUUGGUUCUUUUAUUUUCCUGUUCAAUUUCACUUACUUAAUUAAUUCUUCUUUGAUUAUUUCAGGUGUUUAUGAGUAUUGAUCGAAUUAUCGACUUACUCCCAGUGGACCUUGAAAUAGAACGAACCUUUCGCCACGAAGAAGACAAGUGAACUAGAGAAGGAUCGAAGAGAUGAAUUUCAAGAAUAUCAAUCAAGGAAACGGAGAAAACCUUGCUCAAAAUCCUAUCCUUAUUGCUGAUGAUAGGGAUAGAGCUUUACGACAAUAUGUCGUGCCAGUUUUUAAUGACCUUAAUCCAGGUAUUAGAAGACCUGAGAUCGAGGCACAACAAUUCGAGCUGAAGCCAGUCAUGUUCCAGAUGCUUCAGACAGUGGGCCAGUUCAGUGGAAUGCCUACUGAAGAUCCUCAUCUUCAUUUAAGACUGUUUAUGGAGGUGAGCGACUCUUUCAAGCUAGCCGGAGUACUCGAAGGUGCGUUACGAUUAAAACUGUUCCCGUACUCGCUGAGGGAUAGAGCUCGAGCCUGGUUAAACUCACUGCCACCGAACUCGAUUUCUAUAUUGCAAGAGUUAGUAGAGAGAUUUCUUGUGAAGUAUUUCUCGCCUAGCAAGAUUGCUAAGCUGAGAAAUGAGAUCACUGCUUUCCAACAAAUGGAUGAUGAGUCCUUGUAUGAGGCAUGGGAAAGAUUCAAAGAGUUAUUACGGAAGUGCCCUCAUCACGGAAUUCCGCAUUGCAUCCAACUUGAGACAUUUUACAAUGGUCUCAACGCUCACACAAGGAAGGUAGUAUAUGCUUCUGCUAACGGUGCUAUCUUAUCUAAGUCUUACAAUGAGGCUUAUGAAAUCAUCGAGAGGAUCGCCAGUAACAAUUAUCAGUUGCCAACCAAUCGAGCAACGUCAGGAAGAAGAGUUACUGGAAUCCUUGAAGUGGACGCUCUCACUUCACUUGCAUCCCAGGUAUCUUCGAUAUCUUCAAUGUUAAAGAAUCUUACCACUAAUGGGUCUAACAGUUUUGCAGCUCAACCACCUAACCAAUAUGAGAAUAUAGCCUGUGUCUAUUGUGGGGAAGGACAUGUGUUUGAAGAAUGUCCGUCAAACCCAGAAUCCAUGUACUACAUAGGUAAUCAGAACCAGAAUCGAGGAAGGCAAGGGCUGCAAUCCAACUUUUACAACCCAUCAUGGCGAAAUCACCCCAAUCCUUCCUGGAGUAACCAAAGGGCUGGAGGCAGUAACAACUACGCCCAACCUAGACCAACCCAGCCGCCUAGUUUUUCACAGCAAGUUCAGAAACCAGUUCAGGUUGAAUCGUCCAAUUGCUUAGAAAAUUUAUUGAAGGCAUACAUGGCGAAGAAUGAUGCCACUCCAAGGAAUUUGGAGAAUCAAGUGGGCCAGCUUGCUACUGAACUUAGGAACCGUCCACAAGGUGCUUUACCUAGUGAUACAGAAAAUUCGAGAAAUCCAGGGAAGGAGCAUUAUAAAGCACUAACAUUGAGGAGCGGAAAAACGGUAGAGCCCAGCAUCAUUGAAGUUGAAAAGGAGCAUGCUGAAGCUCAAGAUUCGGAAGAAGUUCAACCGAGUGUUGAAGUUCCUGUUCCACUAGAACCAGAACCUGCAAGACCUGAAAAGGUAACCUCAGAACCUGGCAAUUCUGAUCAGCUAACCAUUCCGUUAGUAGUAGAAUUGCCACCAAAGACAAAUCAACUAGUACCAACUCCAGUAUAUAAACCUCCACCACCUUACCCUCAAAGACUCUAGAAGCAAAAACAGGAGGUCCAAUUCAAGAAGUUCCUUGACGUACUCAAGCAACUUCAUAUCAACAUCCCGUUGGUUGAAGCACUUGAACAAAUGCCAAAUUACGUAAAAUUCAUGAAAGAUAUCCUAUCCAAGAAGAGAAUACUUGGAGAAUUUGAGACGGUAGCUUUGACGAAGAAAUGCAGUGCAUAUCUUCAAGACAAAUUACCCUCUAAGCUGAAGGAUCCUGGGUGUUUUACCAUUCCAUGCAACAUUGGAGCAGCUUAUUGUGGUAAGGCACUAUGUGACUUGGGCGCAAGUAUCAACUUGAUGCCUAUGUCGAUAUUUAAGAAAUUGGGGAUAGGUGAAGUUCGACCUACUACGGUUACAUUUCAGCUAGCAGAUCGAUCCUUAACACAUCCAGAAGGAAAAAUUGAGGACGUAUUGGCACGUGUAGAUAAGUUUAUCUUUCCUGCUGAUUUUGUAAUUUUAGAUUUCGAAGCAGACAAAGAAGUACCAAUUAUCCUGGGGAGACGUUCUUAGCAACCAGAAGGACACUUGAUUUGGAGUUUUGUAGCUCCAGUUAUAAAUGAUUUAGUGACUAUUGCUCAGGAAGACAGCUUGCAGUGAAAUUAUGAUCAUGUGGUAAACACUGACAAAAAUUUGUUAAUGAGUUGCUUAUUGAUUUCUGAUAAGCUGACUCUGAUCUGUAGGUGUGGUUGGCUGAAUAUUGUAAGGGGUUAAUACGUAGUUUGUAUUUGAAUAGUUAGAUUAACGUGUUAGUAAUCCAAUUGUAGGCGGUUCGUGUGUGGAUCUCGUCAGCAUAUCGUCGCAAACAGGUGUGUAACUAACACCCUCUUAUAGACUAGAUCGGCACAAGCCGAAAAGCCGAAAUACCGAAAAGUCGGUAUUUUGAGAUCUUGCGAGUGUGUGAAUGCUCAUGAGAUUAAUAGUGUGAUAUAUAUGGUAAAUUAAAGUGAUAAGACUGCAGAGUGCGCGAUUUUGUGCAUUUCGAUAUUUUUGGGCUUAAUGGACCAAAAACAGGAUAAUGGGCCAACGAGCCCAAAUUGGUAAGAAAAUGCGGUAAGUGUUUCUGAUUGUACGUAAAUGGCUAUGUUAUGUAUGAAAACCUUAAGAAUAGUUAAAUUACUUGAAUACCCCUAUGUAUGCAAAAUUACCAUUAUACCCCUAGGGUUACUUUUGACUGAAAAGCAUGACGAUCUGAUUCUGUAUGAUGUAUGCCAUGAUUAUAUAUCUGUUGCAUGGGGACUUGGGUUAUACUAUGGAGGAAGCGUCCUGGUGGCUAUGCCACAAUUAUCUGAUCUGGUGGCUCUUCCACAUAUAUCUGUUCUGAUGGCUCUGCCACGAUUAUCUGAUCUGGUGGCUCUGCCACAAUAUCUGUAUCUGGUGACUUCGUCACAAUAUCUGGCAGCCUCGCUGCGAUUUCUAUGGUGUGUAGCGGUUGGGUGGGUCGAGUAGUCUCCCCACAUGGUGUAAGGCUGGUACGGGGGUGUUAUGAAUGAAUCUGGGUUGGGUUUCUGCAUAAACAUGUAAUAUCUGUUCUGUUCUUUUAUGGGCCUGUGGGCUUUAUUCUGAAUUCUGUUCUGGGCUAAGGCCAACUUAUUCUGUUUCUGUGGGUUGAGCUGAUUUAGACUAUGGUUGGGUUAUUUUACACACUGAGUUUCCCCAAACUCACCCUUUUUAUUUUCAUCCACGCAGGUAAUCCCCAACCAUAGUGGGCUUGGAGCUGUGAGGGAAUUCGGAGUGGCCACUCGUUCUGAAAGUUUGAUUUUCUUCUGGUGAACUGGACAUCCUUUUAUUUACGUUUAAAGUUUUGGGUUUUUAAAUGUAAUAAGGCCGCUUAAUUAUUUUUGAUGGUUUUUAUAUGUUUUAUUAAGAUAGGUAAUAUUUAUAUUUAACUGUUGAAAUUGGAUAGCUUUAGGGCGCGUUUUCAAAAAAAUAGUAAUUGAUUUCAAAAUAACACAAAAACAAGCAAAGCUUCCGCAAUGAAGAUAUUUUCUAAAAUUAAUCAUUUUUCCUAAAAAGGACUUACUCAAAUCGGUUUCCUAGAAAUAUACAUGACGUUGAGGUAUGGCAAUGGCGGUUUGCAUGUCUAAGAUUGGAUCCAAAGGGAGUUUGGUACUGAAGCAGUCCGAUGGACUCACCUCCUCUUUUCCGGUUUCCUACCUGGUGCACAGCUUCCAUUCACUUUAACCUAUAAUGAAAUCAUCUUUUAAAACACUCAGUAAGUUUUCUUUCUGGAUCGAAAAUAUUUUGAAUGCUUCGAUGUGGCAUGUCGAAUUUGGCCAUAACGUCUGGGCCGGGUUUGGGGUGCUACACGCGUUCAGGACGAUCAGGUAACAUUUAACGUUUUCAAGUCAAUGCGAUUUCCUGACACAAUAGAUGAUUGUUUUGCAGUAUCCAACUUAGAGGAUUUAAUAGUGGAGAAGGAACUCAACUCUGUUGAAGAUCCUCUGGAAAGAAUUUUGACAUCAGACCCUCCAAGUGAUGAAGAUGAGGAUGGAAACUUAGCGUUGCUAGAAGCUAAUCAAAAGGGAUUUAAUCCACAAUCCCGUUUCGAAUCUUUGGAUUUAGAGGAAAGAGAUUACACACAACCGAAAGCAUCAAUCGAUGAGCCACCUAAACUAGAACUCAAUGUAUUACCUUCUCAUUUAAAAUAUAUUUAUUUAGGUGAUGCUUCUACCCUGCCUGUGAUUGUUUCAGCAGGGUUAACUACUGAGCAGGAAGAAAAACUUAUCUUAGUUCUGAAACAAUUUAAGAAGGCUAUCAGAUGGACCAUAGCCGAUAUUCGCGGUAUUAGUCCAUCUGUAUGCAUUCACAAGAUUAUCCUAGAAGAUAGUGAAAAAGGGAUGAUCGAUGGACAACGAAGGCUGAACCCAAUCAUGAAGGACGUAGUGAAAAAAGAGAUUAUCAAGUGGUUAGAUGCGGGUAUCAUUUACCGCAUCUCGGAUAGUUCAUGGGUAAGUCCGGUCCAGUGCGUACUAAAGAAAGGAGGUGUCACGGUCAUAGAGGACGAGAAUAAAGAGUUGAUACCGACUAAAACAGUUACGAGAUAGAGAAUCUGCAUCGAAUACCAGAAGCUAAACAAGGCAACUAGGAAGGAUCACUUCCCUUUGCCGUUCUUAGACCAGAUGCUGGAUAGACUCGCGGGGCGAGAUUACUACUGUUUUCUCGAUGGAUACUCAGGGUACAACCAGAUUGCGGUAGCACCAAAAGAUCAACACAAGACCACAUUCACCUGCCCGUACGGUACAUUUGCAUUUAGACCCGUGCCAUUUGGUUUAUGUAAUGCACCUGCUACAUUUCAAAGAUGUAUGAUGUCUAUUUUCACUGACAUGGUUGAGAAAUUUUUGGAAGUUUUCAUGGAUGACUUUUUAGUGUUUGGAGAUACGUACGAUGAUUGCUUAGCCAAUCUGGCUAAGGUACUUAGGCGAUGCGAAGAGACAAACCUAGUCCUUAACUGGGAAAAGUGCCAUUUUAUGGUACGAGAAGGUAUCGUUCUGGGGCAUCAAAUAACAAGACAUGGGAUCGAGGUAGACAGAGCAAAAGUAGAUGUUAUUGAGAAACUCCCACCUCCAAAAUCUGUAAAGGGUGUUAGGAGCUUUUUGGGCCACGCCAGGUUCUAUCGAAGAUUUAUCAAUGACUUCUCCAUAGUUGCUAAACCUUUAUGCAAAUUAUUGGAGAAGGACACGAUAAUCAAAUUUAAUGAAGAAUGCUUAAAAGCUUUCAAUGACUUGAAGAAUCGAUUAGUCACGGCACCCAUAAUUGUCACACCAGACUAGGACUUGCCAUUUGAAUUGAUGUGUAACGCAAGUGACUUCGCAAUAGAAGCUGUCAUGGGCCAGCGAAGGAACAAAGUUUUUCAUCCCAUCUACUAUGCAAGCCGAACUCUGACAGAAGCUCAAUUAAAUUAUACGGUAACAGAAAAAGUGUUACUUGCUAUCGUAUUUGCUUUGGACAAGUUUCGAUCUUAUCUUGUAGGUACCAAGGUAACUGUCUAUACAGACCACUCUGCAAUUAAAUAUUUACUUGCCAAGAAAGACGCUAAGCCGAGGUUGAUCCGAUGGGUACUACUACUUCAAGAGUUCGAUUUGAAAAUUCAAGAUCGAAAGGGAGUAGAAAACCAAGUAGCAUAUCACUUGUCCAGAUUGGAGCCGCAAGAAGGGAAUUCUCCACUUGUACCGAUUCAAGAAACAUUUCCAGAUGAACAUAUACUGAAGGUAAGUCAUGUCCAUAAUACUCCUUGGUUUGCUGAUAUUGCUAACUUUUUAGCUUGUGGUUUAAUGUCGUAUGAUAAGACAUAUCAACAAAAGAGAAAGUUUCUUCACGAUGUGAAAUACUAUUUCUGGGAGGAACCAUAUCUGUUUAAAAAGUGUGCAGAUCAGAUGAUUAGGAGAUGCGUGGCAGAAGAAGAAAUACCACAGAUUCUAUACCACUAUCACUCAGCCCCAAGUGGGGGUCAUUUCGGAGGAACUCGUACUGCAGCCAAAGUAUUACAAGCUGGAUUCUUUUAGCCAACACUAUUCAAGUAUGUAAAUGCAUAUGUAAAGAGUUGUGACCGAUGUCAAAGAGUUGGAAAUAUCACCAACAAAAAUCAGAUGCCUCGAACAAACAUCAUUGAGGUCGAAUUAUUCGAUGUUUGGGGUAUUAAUUUUCUUGGGCCCUUUCCUUCGUCUUUUGAUCACAAGUAUAUACUGGGGCAGAGGCAUAUCCGACAAACGAUGCUAGGGUUGUGAUGAAGUUUUUGCAGAAACACGUGUUCACGAGGUUUGGAACCCCGAGAGCCAUCAUUAGUGAUGAAGGGUCCCACUUUGUGAACAAGUGGUUAAAAUGGUUACUAGACAAGCAAGGGGUGAAACACAAGGUUGCAACGGCUUACCAACCGCAGACGAAUGGACAAGUUGAACUGGCAAAUAAAGAAAUCAAGGGCAUAUUGGAGAAGGUAGUUUGCCCGAACCGACAAGACUGGUCCAAAAGACUAGAUGACGCUUUAUGGGCCUAUAGAACAGCGUACAAGACACCUUUAGGGAUGUCACCCUAUAGGCUAGUUUUUGGUAAAGCAUGUCAUCUACCUUUGGAGUUAGAGCACAAAGCUUAUUGGGCUCUUCGACAACUCAACUUAGAACCUAAACUCGCAAAAGAAAGACGGAUGUUCCAACUCAACGAGUUAGAAGAAUUCCGAAUGUUUUCAUAUGAAAAUGCCAAAUUACUCAAAGAGAGACUCAAGAAAUGGCAUGACAAACACAUCCAGGUUCGAGAAUUUCAAGCAAGUCAGCAAGUAUUGUUGUUCAACUCGAGAUUGAAGUUCUUUCCAGGUAAGCUAAAAUCACGUUGGUCCGGUCCAUUUACAAUUCACAGAGUCUAUCCAUACGGAGUUGUUGAACUCCAAGGUAAGAGAGGUAAUUUCCAAGUUAAUGCUCAACGUUUGAAACACUAUUGGGGGAAUAAAACCGAACGGGAUAACGUCUCGUUCAUUUUGUCAGAUAUUUAAUAAUUUUCGUGUUUUGUUAAAAAAUAAUUUAGGGUCUAUUUUUUGGGUUUAGUAUGUUUAAAUAAAUUCUGUCUAGGAGGUUGGAACUUAAGCGAGACCAUUUGUAACCCCUCCAAUUUUUCCUGGGAAUUUAUUUUAACAUAAUUUUCCAAGAAAUUUUUCCCUAAUCAAUAAAAUAAAUUUUUGUUUUUCAAAUAAAAGGGUCAAUUUGAUCCAAUUUUUAAUUUGCAACUCAAAUUUUUAAUUUUCAUUAAGUCUAGGGAAUUAAAUUGAAUUAUUUUUAAAAUUUGAUUGCUCUUUUCGUAAAUAAUAAAAACUAGAUGCCUCUUUUUGUAAAUAUUUUUUUAAAGGGCUUCUAGAAUAAAUGUUUUUAGUUAAAAAAAUGAUAAUUAUUAAUAUAUAAUUAUACCCAUUAUAUAUAUUAAUUAUUAUCAAUUUUUGGAUUUUGUUUGAUAAGUUUUGAUAAUAAGAUGAUAAUCUUUAAUAUAUAAUUAUAUCUAUUUAUAUAUUAAUCUUUAUCAAUUUAGCAUGAAAUUAGGAUUUUAUCUUUGUUUUAAUAAAUUAAAUAGCAAUUAAUAGUUUAAUAUAUGCAUAUAUCUAAUUAUUAAUUGUUGUUAUCUUUAUAUAAGAUUAGAAUUUAGAAUUUUUAUUAAUUAAUUUGUUUUAAGAAUUCUACUCUAAUUCUUAUUUCUCCCUCUAUAAAUACUACCCAUCUUCCCAUUCACCUAACACUUAAAACCCAAAGCACCAAAAUACCCAAGUUUCAAAACCUCAAGCAGCAAUAGCUCCAAGCAGUCGGCCAGCACAUGCCCAACUCCAUCGCAAGCACGUCCCGCGCACAACGCGCGCGUUGCCUCGAGCGGCCCUAGCCUCAGCUCGCACCAGGCCUUCACCCCGCGCGCGGUACCUGCCUUCCGCACCAUCCUACGUUUGCCUGAGUCCCACCUGCUGCCGAACGCCCGUGUUACUACCAGCCCUACUGCGCACCGCUUCUCCCACACGCACCACACUCGCACCACACCCGCACGCCCUAGCUGCUUGUGCGGCAUUCCUUUCCCAUCCAUCCUAAGCCACAAACCUCCAACCCUUCUUUUAAAUUCCCAUCUUUUUCUUCAUUAUUAUUAAUUCCUAGAGUUUUUAUAUUUUUACAAAAAAAGGUGGUAAGACCUAGUUUUUCUUAAUUUUAAUUUUAAUUAAUUAAUUUUUCAAAUCAUUGAAUUACUAAUAAUUUUUAUUAAAAUUUAUUGAGAAACUAAUUUUUCCAUCUUAUGAUCAGUUUAAACAUGCCUCGCAAGAGAACUUGUGCUUCCGAUCAAAUUGAUGAAAUACAAAACAAAUUCCACUGUGAAGAAGCCAAAGUGAGAUACGAAAGUAUCUUCAAAAACCAACAGAUGCAUCCAGAAAAAGGCUUCACUUUAAAGGAAAGCAACUACCGAGACUUAAUAGCUCAUAUUCGUCAAGUUGUUGAAACCCUAAAUUAGGAGUUGUUUUGUGAAAAGAGACCAAGUGUGGAUGAGGAACUAGUUCGUGAGUUUUAUGCAAAUUUAACUUUAGGCGAGAUGAUAGAAGUUCCAGUUCGUGGAAUCAAGGUACCGAUAAAUUCAAAUGCUAUUAAUGAAUUCUUUGAAUUACCAGAUCUCAAAAACGAUGAAUAUUCCACAUUGAUGAGCAAUAUCAAGCCUAAAAAUCUGUGAGAAAUUCUCGAGGAGCUUACAAUUGAAGGUUUCAGUUGGACUGUGUCGAAACAAGGAACCCACACGUGUUGAAGAGAAUACUUAACACCUAUUGCAAAGGUAUGGUUUUAUUUCAUCCGUUUCAGCCUUCUGCCUAGCUCACAUAGGACUACAAUUUCAUUGGAGCGAAUGAUCUUACUAUACUCAAUCUUAACGGGUAAGAGCCUUGAUGUGGGAAAGAUCAUCCUGAAAGAAAUUCGAAACUGUGCCGCUAGACAUUCUGGCCCUGCUUACUUCCCCUUUACAAUAACUAUUUUGUGCUUGAAAGCAGAAAUUCUUGCUAAUGUCAAGAAGACAGGGUACACCCAAGGCACAAUUACAGAUUGGGACCUCUACCGAGUAGUCGGAGACUCAGUUCUACAACAACGAGUUGAAGAAAGUGAAGAGCCUGAGGAACCUGAUGAAGAAGAAGAUCCCACGAUGCAAUCAUUUGAAGUCCCUGAUAAGGUGGACCCAGUUGAGCCAAAAGAUGAAUCGGAUGCUGGAACUUCAAUGUUUCGAGCUAAAUCGUCAAGCCUAGACCUUCGAGAUGAGCUAUCAAAACUGAUGGACUUAACGCAACAUAUGCAAUGGCAGCAACAAGCCUACUAUAGAUACUCAAAAAUAAGGGAUGACUCAAUGAGAAGUGCUUUUAAGAAAAUAUACAAUGACCCAUUUAUUUUUGUGCCUGAAUUUCUAGAUUUCAUAUUCGAGCCAUGGACUCCACUCUCGAAAAUGGAACGAAGCGAUUCAUGCAAAGGCAUUAGUGAUGGAGCAAAAGAUGAGUCAAAUACAGAAGGGUCUGCAAAUAAAUAAAGGGAGGAUCUUGACUUUAUUUUAUCUCUGUUCUUAGGUCAUUUUAGGAUUAAGUUUAAUUAGGAAUUUAUUUCUAUUUUUUGUAUAAUAAAACAAUAGAGGAAAAAUACUAAUAAAAUGUGAGAAAGUCACAAAACUUAGGCAAUAGAUAUGUACAUGUCUAGGAUUGGAUUUAGAAAGAGCUUGGUACUUAAGCAGUCAAAUUGACUCACCUCCUCUUUUCUAAAAUCCUACCUGGUGUAUAGUAUCUAUUCACUUUAAACAAUGAGGACAUUGUUCAUUUUAAGUUGGGGGGACCGAGAAAUUGAAUUAUUUCCACUCAGGAUAAAAUUUUUCUUUUAAUUAUGAUUAGGAUAUAUUUUGUUCAGAAAUUUGAAUUCUGUUAAGUAUGCUCAAUUUAAGUAUGAAUAAAGUUCUAUUAUUUCAAUAAAUUAUUAUGUUAGCUUAAUAAUGACAUGAAUGUGUUUUUAAAAAAGCAUGCAAAUUCGUACCAUAAAAUUUUUAGUUCUUUAGGAAAGUUAGGUAUGCAUGAAAGUUUAAGUCUUUAGAAUUGACUUAGUAAGUGUCAUGAGGCGAAAUCCUAGGGAGCAUGAAACGUUGGAAAUGAUUUAGGCAACUAUUGUUUGGACCAUUUGAGCCUUUCAAGCCCACCAUGGUAUAUUUUAUCCAUUGAAACCCAACUUUGAGACUAUAUGGCCUGAUUUUAUUCCGACCCUUAUAAUAAUUAGCCAUUACUUUUUGCUUAAUAAUCUUAAAAUUGUCCCAAACACUAGACUCGGCAAUAUUCUAGAUGUUGUUCGAAAAUAAGUUUGGGGGAGUUGACAAGAUGUAUCAAUUGCUCGAGAAUUACAGUACACAAAAUAAGUGCUCAUGUUAAUUGAAAAAAAAAGCACAUAUAUUUGAAAAAGAUCAUAUGAAAAUCAAGUUGGUGUAUCGAAGGUAAAAACUCUGAAGGUCCAAUUGAUGCUGAGUCUAGGGUUUUUUUAAAACCAAAAUUUAUCCAUCUUUCACUUACCCCUAGCCUAGCCACAUUACAACCCUGAUAAAGACCUAUUGAUUCAAAGUCCUCAUGCUACCUACAUUAGUGGAGAGAAAUUACUACGAUCAACAUAUGAAGACAUAAGUUAAGCUUAAUGAUUGCAGGUUAGUCUCUAAUAAAGGAAUAAAAAUCAAAUUGGUAAGGAUUAACAUGUCUUUAUAACAAAAUCAUUUAGUCUAAAUUUUGCUAUAAUAAUAAGUGGUUGAAUUUAAGUUGAACAAUAUGGAUACUUAAGUAGCAUAACUAACAGAUUUCUUGUCUUUGAGCAUAAGUAUUUUAAGUUCAUAAUUUUGGGAAAAAUGUUGUUCUGAAGGAAUUUUUCAAAGGUGUUUCUGAGAGAUUCUUUCCAAAAUUUGCACAUUACUCGGGACGAGCAAUGAAUUAAGUUUGGGGGUGUGGAAACACAAAAAUUUAUAUACUUUUUCAUACCCAAUUCUACUUAAAUUCAUGCAAAUUCAGUUAAAUUCUUGUCAAAAAAUAAUUAACUAUUAUCAAAUAAUAAACUUAUGUUAAAAAUAUGAACAUUAUGAAUUUUAAUUAAUUUUGUAGUUAAUUUUGAUUAAAUUUGGUUAUUUUUGACAGAAUUACACAAUUGGAGAAAAAGGGCCCGGUGAACACUGCGAGAAGAACAAAACCGAGAGCAAUUUGAAGUAUCGAGGCCAAUUAAUUUCCAGCCCAAGACGGUCCAAAAAUAUGUAUUAAUUCAUAAUUAAAUUAUUUCCUAUUUAAUUUAGGUUAAAUGAAUUAAUUUUAAUUAAUUAUGAAGAAAGGGCCUAGUGAACCGCACUGGUUGAACCGAAUGAAGUGAGCCGAACCAGCCACUAAUUGGGCUGACCAGAACCGUCCAUUGGCUGACCCAAAUCAGAAAAUUAGCUGAUAAAAUGUGCUUGCAAAAAGGCCAUUGAAAAACCUCCAAAUUACGUUCAAACCCCACCUUUAUUUUAGGCUUUGUAGAUUUGCCCCAGCCUAUUUUUAGUAAGGUUGAAAGCUUCAACCUUGCCAUGUGUGUGGCCGGCCAUGGGAGGGCUCUCUUGGCUGCUGAAUUUGAUAUUUUUAGAAGCCCUCUUCAGAUAUAAAAGCCACCCUAUGCUGCCCAUUUCAAAGCAUCCCUCAACAUCCCUCAUUCCACAACAUUCUCUCAUCAUCUCUUCACUUCUCUCAAAGUUUCCUCUCCAUUUUUCCAUCCCAUUUUCCCUUCCUCUUGUGCCGAUUUUCUCUCUUGAGAAAGAGGUGUUCUUCAGCCAUCUUGGGCAGCAAUCAAGGAUUCAUAGAAGCCUUGCUCGGCGAAGACAACGGAGACUAAGAACGGAGCAACAGUCAAGCUGUAGAGAAACACUGGAUUUGCUUUCUGUUCCCUUUCUUUUUAAUUUCUGUUGUUUUUAUGAAGAACAUAUCUAUGAAAAAUAUUGUUUCUGAAAUGGUUAUUUUAAUCAGUUUAGCUUGAAUUUAGUUCGUGUUGGGUUGAUUAUAUUUUGCCUACUUGAAUUAUUAAAUUAGUGUUUAUGCUAUUAUAGGCCUCAGUGAAAUGCUUGAUUAAGUAAAAUCAUGUUUAGGUUAUCUGGCAUUAUAAUUGUUUAGAUAACUAAAGAAUUAAUUGUUUAAACGGAUUGAAAUUGCAAUUAAUGGACUCAAUACUUAAUCAGUGCAUGUUUAAUUCUUCUAAGGUAACUGAAAAUUAAAUUAGCUUUGUAUUUGGCGAUACAUAUGACUUGCAUAACUUGCAAGAUUGUUGUGAUUAAAUUGUUUCAAGGUAUGGCUACUUUGUUACUUCACAUAAUCUUUUACAUGUUUAUUAAGUUGAAUUAAUCGGUUGAAUCAACAUAGGAAUAUGCGAGAGAUAAUUUAAUUCAAGAAGUAUGUAUGUGCGAUAGCAUGUUUACUUUAUCAAAUCUGUUUAGUCGGUUGAAUUGGCAUAGGGAUAUGUUCAAGAGAUAAAUGGAAUUUUUUAAUUAGUAAAUAUGUUCAUAAGUUAGCAAAUUACCGGGUUGUCGUAAAUUUAUUCAUAACAGCGUAAGCACGAAUUUAAUAUUUCUAAGUUAAAAAGGUAUAAUUAAUCCAACACAAUUAUAUCAUUUGAUUAAAUCUUAAUUGAAAUCAUGCACUAGAACUCUUUUAUUUUAUUUAAAUUGUUUGCUUAGUUUUAAAAUCUUAGUUUAUAAAUCACUCUUUUCAAACCAAAAUUAUUUUUACCUCACCAAAGUGUUUUAAUUAAUUUCAUAAAUAUUGCUUUUUACAGUCCCUGUGGGUACGAUAACUCGACAUUUACUUGUCACUUUAUUACUUGUUACGAUUCUGUACACUUGCACAUUUCCACCUUUCCACAAAGAGAGUUGAAAGAUAUUCUCUUUCUUGAGUUUUUCUCAUUACCAACCUUUGUUUCUUUCUUGUGUUGAUAGUAGUUUUGGAAUGUUUUUGCUGACAGCUUUGUUGUGUUCUUGUGGUUAUUUUGUGACACUUUUUUAGGUAUUCUUUGGAGAGUUUAUUGAUUGUAUUUUGAGGUAUUUGGCUGAGUGAUUUAUGAUAAUUGGGGUUGGUAUUGGGACUAUAAUUGCUUCUUUGUGUAAGGGUAGAUUGGGCUCAAACUAAUAGGUGAUCUGAACAAUUGUUGAAUAAAAUCUUUCACUAGGUGAGGCUCUGCAAAUGUAGGAUCGUUGUAUCUGAACUGUGUUAAAAAAGAUUAUGUAACACCCCAUACCCGACCCGAUAGCUGGGUCUGAACUAUAAGUUGUUACUUUCAUGGCUGGAGUAUAUAGUGUAGACACUCAGAAAUAAGUUCAAAAAAAAAAACAAAGUCCAAGUCCAGUACAAAAUUACAAACAUAUAAUUUGGCCAAAUCGAAAUGGCCCAUUACUUGAAAAGAUUAAAGGUCCAUCUAUGAGCUUGACUCAUAUGGAAAUAUAAUCUUUAAGGAUAUGCAAUCUUAGAUAUGAUAUGCAAUCUUAGAUAUGAUAUGCAAUCUUGAAGAUAUGAUCUUGUAAUCUUGGAGAUUUAAUUUGUAGAUAUCCUUUAAUCUUAAUCGUUGAUGUAAUUGAUCUGUACCGUUGGAUUUGGGGAGGCUCAACUAUAAAUAAAGGCCUCUCCCUUCAUUGUAAAUCACUUGAGUUUUGGGAAGCAAUAAGAAUUCUUGAAAGCAUUCACUCAAAUUUCUCUGCCUCUUGCGUUCUUACCCUCUGUGGUUUGUUCUUAUUUUAUUCUUCGUCUAUCUUAGUUUUUCAACCUUUUUUUUAUUUUAAUUUCUUCAUUUUUCCAAUAUGUAUAUUUUUUCCUAUCUUUUAUACAUUUGAUUAUGUAUUUUAUAUAUUAUAAUAUUUAACCUUUUUAUAUAGUUUAUUUUCAAAUAUAUAUUUUCUUUGCAUAUAUAUAUUAUAUUAUCAUUUCAUGUAUUUUGAACUAUUGCAUUAUAUUUUUAUAAUUUGUAAAUGUUCUAUUUAUUCAUUUUUUUUGUGUAUGUCAUUUAUCUUAUUUGUGAACAGUUUCAUUUUUUUUAUAUGCUAUGUUUAAUUAUUUCUUUUAUGUGUUAUUUUAUGAUAUAUAUUGUUGUAUAAUUUUUGCAUGUAUUAUGUUUUUCUUUUAGUUUACUCAUAUUUUUAUUUGUUUAUUAUCUUAUAUUUACCUUAGUAUGAUUUUUUUUCAUUAAACGUAUGUUCAUGUUAUUUAGUUUUGUCAUAAUAAUAUUAUUUAUGUUUGUAUGAAAAUAUUAGAAUAUUUUGUACAUCUACGCUUCAUGAUGCAUUAAUAUGUCAUCCUAAAACGUCAUUUAAAAAUAAUAUUCCAAGGUUUUUUUAAAAAAAAAAUUAAAAGGCAAUGCUUGAUGUUUGGAUACUUCGAGAAAGGUAGUGCCCUAACUUACUGGGUUGCGACUUUUCUCGUUGCAUUCGAAUAGUCAAGCACCCUUCUAAGUGAUUUUGAGUUUUCAAAACUUAAACAAUUAUUUUGAGAUUUCAAAACAUAGUAUCCUAACUUACUGGAUAUGGCGUUUUGUUGUUUCGAGAUAGAAAUUUUCGAAAGACGAACUUAGUUUUGAAGGUUUUAAAAUGUUGCGUCCUAACUUACUGGAUGUGAUGUUUUGACUCGUUUGAAAUAAGUGAGCCUUAAUUUUCAAAAUUGAGGCAUUCUAAUUAAAAGAGGUUUGAAUCUUAAAACUUUCAAAUUUCCGACAUUAAAGACACUUGAUAAUCAAUUAGGUACCAAUUUUUGGGCAUUACGAGGGUGUUAACCCUUCCUCGUACGUAACCGAAUCCCGAAUCCGUUUUCUCGACUUUCAUAGACCAAAAUUAAUGUUUUAAAACAAAACAUUUUAUAAGGUGAUCCAAUCACACCUAAAAAGAUUGGUGGCGACUCCCAUUUUCGUUUUUCUUAAAGUCGAUUCCCAUUUUCCAAAACUCGAUUUAAAAAUGGUUUCGACAUAUAGAAUGAUAUAUAUUUUAGAGUUUUAUACAAGCUACGAAAGCUCUAACACCAACCCAAGGCCGAAUUAGGACUAACUUGUCAUAUUUACAAAACUUCAAGUUGACGUCACAAUGUUGGAGGUUCCUCGCCGUGAUGCAACAUAAUGACUAGGUCUCAUCACAGUGACCAAUACUCGAUGUCGCGUCAUGGUAUGGUAACUUGAUCUCAUCGUGACGAUAGUAGCUUGACGUCGCGACAUGACAAAAUAUUUCUGCAAAUUUCUAAAUGAAACUUCAACCUACAAUUCCAAUAAACUAAUAUACACAUUUAUACCAUACUUUUAGCCAAAACAUGCAAUCCUUAUAAAUCAAGCAUGAGCAAGACACUUUAAUCAAUGGUGUACCAGUGCCACAUUACCUAGUUUAAAUCAAUCAAACCUUUAAACUAUAUGCUUAAUCAUUUAAGGUAUGAACAUAACAACAUUAUACAUUUCAACCAAAAUAUAUUCUUACCAAUAUUCAUUUGACCAUUUCACUUAUGCCAAACCUAUUAAAACAUAUCAAAAUGACCUUGUGACAAUUUGAAAUUAACCAUUUAACUUAACAUACAAUCCAUGUCAUUCAUUCAAGUUCAAUUUCACCAUCUACUUAUCUAACCAUUCAAAGUAUCAUACUUAUAAUCUUUAUCAUACCAAAACUUACCAAUUGAGAUCAUUAUGAAUACAAGCAUCACACAAGAUCAAACAUGUAUCACUUUGAUCAUAUAGCAACCAAUUACAUAAGUUUCAACAAUUAUCAACUUAUCACAUAACAUCAACACCAAAUUGACCAUUUGCACAACAAAGGUCUCUAUGUACAUACCACAAAGUCUAGGUUCAAAAUGAAUUUAUAACUACCAUCUCGAGAUAGUGUGUAACGCCCCGAAUUUUGGGUCUAGAAGUUUUGGGUUAUGAGUGUAGUGACAAUGAGACAGUUGCACACAUAAGUUAAGUUGUGCUUUUUAGUGUUAGAAUUGGCCUGCUGGUCCACUGGUUGAGUGAGUGUUAGUGUACUUUGAGGUUCCGGGUUCGAGUCUUGUGUACACUCUCUGGAUGAAUUUUCUUCUUCUUCUUCUUCUUUUUAAGUUUUUAUUGUGCUACUUAUUUUUAUUUCAUUUUAUGUGAUUGUAAAUUAUUUUAUGAUUUUAUUAUCUUUAUUUUUAUUUUGGGUCUCUUUUUGGACGUUCUUCCUCCUUUUCUUUUUGGGGGUUUUCUCUGGCUUUUCUUUUGGGAUUAUUGUGAUUGCUUGGGGAAUGUUUUGUCUGUAGCCACUAGAAUUAAGCUCUUCCAUCAUCAUCUCCGAUCUCAUAACAAGUUUGGGAUUAGAAACCUUGUCUUCUCAUUAUCGUUUUUACAAAAUUUCUAUUUUGACAUAUUUUGUUUAUACGUUAACCCGGAGGUUUUGGGUUCUAGACAUUGGAAGUGAAGAGAAACCACCACUUUCUAAUAUAUUUUUGAUAGGGAAAAGAUUAGGGACAGUUCUGAUGUCUUAGAUGGUGGUUUCGGGCUAUUUUAGGGGUGGUUUCGUGACCUCCCCGUCGACCACACGGGCAUGUACCGAGGCACACGGCUGUGUGAAUUUGGGCACUAGGGUUUCAGGCCAAAUUGGGUGCCACAAGGCCUGCCCACAUGGUCAAGUGCCCGAUUUGGGGAUUUUUUUAGAAUUCACACGGCCAUGUCCCUUAGGCACACGGGUGUGUGGGUUCAAAAAUUAGGGUUUUAGAGAUUUAGAGUCACACGACCUGGCCAUAUGGUUGUGUGGCUGAUUUGGGGAUUUAGGGAUCCCACAUAAGUGAGUGUUUCGGAACAUACGGCCGAGUCUAGUAGGAAUACGGGCGUGUGAAACCCUCACACGGCCGUAUCUUUCCUGCACCUUAUUUUAGCGAUUUUAGACAGUGAGUUACACGACCUGUUCACGCGACUGUGUCCCUGCUUCACACAGGCAUGUGCCUCUAUCACACGGCCAUGUGCUACCCUGCACACGGGCGUUUGGACCCCUACAUAGCCUGGAUUGCUCCACACGGCCAGAGUAUAGGGGUCUGUGGCCCUAUCUCGCCAAAUAAUGCUUUUAGGUCGAACUUAAGUGUAAUCGCAACUCUACAUGCUCCAACCCUCGGCUAAGCUUUACUGAAGGUAAUUAUGAAUCUGAUCUAGGCUUGAUAGGUGUGUUAUUUGUGUUUGGUUGUGUGAUAAGCUUGAUACUGAACUCGAGUUAUGAGUGUGCACAUGCAUGAUUCUGUAACUAACUGAUUGGAUGUGAAUGUCUGCUUCUAACUAAUUACUUGAGAUUGGUAAUCUAAUUAUGUACAUCUGACUGCAUACAUACAUACAUACAUACAUAUGCAUAAAAUAUUUUGGGAAGAACUUUGAAGAGAAGGAAGAUUGACUGAACUGGCAGCUGAUCUGCUGGUUACUGAUAGUCCCAAUACCCUGAGGGUCAUGGACUUUACCGAUAUCGGUAUAGCAGAUUAUCGUAUUGCACUGUACUGCAUGUACAUUAGCUACGCUGCGUACCUUUCAUUGAACUGGUAGUUUUACUGCAACCUAUCAGUAUAGCAGAUUACCGUAUUGCACUGUACCGCAUGUACAUUAGCUACGCUACGUAUCUUUGACUGAACUGGCAGUUUUAUUGCAACCUAUCAAUAUAGCGGAUUACCGCAUUGCACUGUACUGCAUGUACGUUAGCUACGCUAUGUACCACUAUCUGAUCAGGCAGUUUAUACUACAUGUCUGUAUCGCGGUUAACCGCAUUGCACAGUACAACUUAUACGCUAGCUUUGCUGCAUAAUAUACUUAACUUGCAGUCUAUCUACAUAUUAUUAGUCCCAAUGACCAGAGCAUCGUGGACAAUCCUGAUAGCCAUCGUUGCCGGGCAACCCGGGAUGACAUCAGUUGGAGUGCAGGGUUGGAUGGGCCUUAUGAGGUCUUGAGUGGAGUGAUUGGUGAGACGAGCUUAAAGCUUUUAUGAGGAGUGAUGGGGGACAGAGAGGUGUGUUGGCUGGAUGGGUGGGUUUCUUGUAACUCAAUUACAUUCAUAUGCAUCAUAUUGACUGUUUGAUUGAAAUGUCUGAUUAACUGUUUGAUUGAAAGGCACUUGUGCCUAUGAGAAUUGUGUAGAAUUUGACUGCGACUGUCUGACUAGAUAGUUACUAUGACUGUUUGAGGAUUACUGCUGCUGUGCCUGAAUGGUACAUGAGACUGUGUGUGUCUGAUUGACCCAUAUGACUGUAAAGUACAUAUGGUGUAUGUUUGAUUUUGGGUGAAUUCGAUCAACUGUCAUCUGUCUGUUAGUAUGUUCUGCUUCCAAACUGCUUCUAGUUCCUUGUUUCCGUUUCUGUAGUUUAAUUGGUUUGUUCUUACACUGAGUUUGAGUAGCUCACCCCCUCUUUUGUUUCCCUUUCAGGUACAGUUCUGGAUUCUGUUGAUGGGCUCAUUACGUAGAGGUUUUGGACAGUCUUAGUGGAUUGAACUAUAAGUUUAAUUGCUAUUUGGUUUUAGUUUGAACUGUAAAACCUUUAUAAGGUCGUGGUACAAUUUUUGUUAUAUGCUAUAUUCAUAUAUUUUAGACUGGUAUCUUUUCGGACAGAAUUUUUAAAAACGAUUAUUGGUUUUUGGUUUGCUAGGAAAUAAAUGUUCUUAAGUAAUAAAGGGGUUUAUUUUUUAAAAAUUUUCUCACAAUUGUAGCAUCCCAGAUUCGAUCUAGACUUCUAGGCCAGGUUUGGGGUGUUACAUAGUAUGUGCUCUUUCAUUAAUCCAACUUGAACAGUUCCACAAGCUAAAAAUCUAGAAUGAAGAAAAAAACAACAAGAGUAAACAUUAAAAAGGCAUAAUAAGCUCAAAUAUAGUUACUAAACUUACCUUGAUCAAUAAAAGCAUAAAGAAAAAUGUCAUACAUUUUGGAAUUCAAAGGUGGCUAUUCUUGGCACAUAUUAGCACAUCUAAGUACAUGUCAAUACUAUCAAGCGAAUAGGUUAGUCACAUUUAUAAUUCAUGAGAAAGAUUUAAGACAUUAAGGCAAUCCAAUACUUAUCACAUAUCAAAUAUCAAAUAUCAAACAUAUAAAAUCACAUAUCAAAUUUGCAUUUAAAUUUCCAUUUCCAUUUAUUUUAACUUCACCCGAUAGAACUAUAGUAAAAUGGAUUUGGAUACACGGGAAUAAGUUGUUCACACAAGCUGACAAUAUAUUAGGGUUGCUCACACAAGCUGACAGUAUAUUGAGGUUACUCAUCUGGGCUAAACCUACAAUACAUAUAACUCAAGAAUCUACAAAAAAUUCUAGAUAUCGUAAUAACAUGUAAUGUAGCACCCCAAACCCGGUCCAGACGUUAUGACCGGAUCCGACAUGCCACAUCGAAGCGUUCAAAACAUUUUAUAUUGUUGAUCCAGAAAAACUUACUUAGUGUUUUAAAAGAUAAUUCAUUAUAGGUUAAAGUGAAUGGAAGCUGUGCACCAGGUAGGAAACCGGAAAAGAGGUGGUGAGUCCAUCGGACUGCUUAAGUACCAAGCUCCCUUCGGAUCCAAUCCUAGACAUGCAUACCGCCAUUACCACACCUUAACGUCAUGGAUAUUUCUAGGAAACCGAUUUGAUUAAGUCCUUUUUAGGAAAAGUGGUUAAUUUUGGAAAAUAUCUUCAUUGCGGAAGCUUUGCCUGUUUUCGUGUUAUUUUGAAAUCAAUUACUGUUUUUGAAAACGCGCCCUAAAGCUAUCCAAUUUCAACAGUUAAAUAUAAAUAUUACCUAUCUUAAUAAAACAUAUAAAAACCAUCAAAAAUAAAUAAGCGGCCUUAUUACAUUUUAAAGCCCAAAACCUCAAACGUAAUUAAAAGGGUGUCCAGUUCACUAGAAGAAAAUCAAACUUUAAGAACGGGUGGCCACUCCGAAUUCCCUCACAGCUCCAAGCUCACUAUGGUUGGGGAUUUCCUGCGUGGAUGAAAAUAAAAGAGGUGAGUUUGGGAAACUCAGUAUGUAAGGAAAACCCAUUCAAAGCCCAAGUCAGCUCAAGCCUAUUGGGCCUAAGCCCAUUCAGGUAACAGUGGUACUAGACCAGAGCCCUUUUCAGAUUACAAUAAACUGGGCCUUAGCCCCUUAUUCAGAUAACAGUAUGGCCCAUAGGCCCAUUUCAAAAUACAUGCAACAUCAAUAACAUAUGCAAGCCCAUUUGGGGAGACUACUCAACCCACAAACCACUACACUCCACCCGUACCAGCCCUACACUCCAUGUGGGGAAUAACUCAACCCACCCAGCCCAACACUCCACAGUUGCAGCCUUGCUGCUCAGUUAACAGUAAAUUGAGGCAAAGCCUCCAGUACGUGGACAAGCCACUUUCAGUACUUCCUCCGUCAAUAUCCCAAUCCCAUGCAUCAGAUAAUAACAACAUGGCAUGCAUAAAUAACAACAAUCAAACAUGCAUUUAGGUCAAUUUAACCCUAGGGGUAUUUCGGUAAUUUAUCUACUAGGGGUAAAACUGUAAAUUUUCCACUUUUAAAGGUAUUUCAGUAAUUUAUCUAUUUUAGGGUUUUUCAUGCAUAUUCCUACUUUUCACGUACUAACAGAAUCACGUACCGAGGGUUCUUACCGAAUUGGGCCUGUUGGCCCAUCAUUCCAAUUUUGGCCCAUUAAGCCCAAAAAUAUCGAGGGCACAGAAAUCAUGCACUUUGCAGUCCAAAUUUUGCAGCUUACCAAAAACAUUAAUCGAUUUACCUCACGAGCAUUCGCACACUCGCAAAUCUACAAAAUACCGGUUUUCGGCAUUUCGGCUUUUCGACUUUUGCCGAUCCAGACUAAGAAAGAGGGUGUUAGUUACACACCUAUUUGUGACGAUAUGCUGACGAGAUCCACACACGAACUGCCUACAAUUGGAUUACUAACACAUUAAUCUAACUAUUCAAAUACGAACUACGUAUUAACCCCUUACAAUAUUCGGCCAACCACACCUACAGAUCAUAGUAAGCUUAUAAGAAAUCAAUAAGCAACUCAUUAACAAAUUUUUGUCAAUGUUUACCACAUAAUCAUAAUCUCACUGCAAGUUGUCUUCCUAACAACAGUCACUAAAUCAUUUAUAAUUGGAGCUACAAAACUCCAAAUCAAGUGCUGUUAAUUUUAGCUGAAAAUAGACUCAUAUAUCUUCUAUCCAUAAAAUUUUCAGAAUUUUUGGUUUAGUCAAUCAAUACCAGAUUUUUCUCAAAGUUUCGCAUGUUUCACUGUUUGACUAAUCUGACCACUCUUCAUUACGAAUCAAAUUUCUCAUUGUACAGAAUUCAAAAUAUAUUCUCGUUUAUUUCAUUUGAAACUAGACUCAUUAAGCUUUAAUUACAUAAUUUAUUCAGCUUCUAAUUCAUCUCCCACAAUUUAUGGUGAUUUUCCAAAGUCACAUUACUGCUGCUGUCCCAAGCAGAUUUAUUACCAAAUCACUCUUUCACACCUAACUUGCAUGCUUGUUAUUUAAACAUGUAUAUCACCAAUCAAUCAUCACAUAUCUAUGAUUUUACUUAAGUAUAAUCUCCAUUUCAUCAUUUUAAAGCACAACAUGUUAGCCGUUUUUUCCCCUUAGCAUCUAAGGCACAUGCAUGCUCAUUUGUUUGGCUCAACUUCACCUAUCUUCCAUUUUUCAUCAAAAGAACAUGAAACAACAACCAUUUCCUUCAUUUUAAUUCAUGACUAAAUGCUCACAACACAACUAAAAACCAAAAUAUGCUUCAAGAGUUAAGGUAGAAUCAAGAAGAACUCAUGAACAUCAAGAUAGAAGCAAACUACCAUGAACUUACCUUCAAUUUUCUUCCCCAAGUGACUGAACAUUCAAGAGCUUUCUCCUCUCCUUUCUCUUCUCUAACUUUCGGCUAUGAUGAACAAAGAUGGACAAAACUUUGUUCUUUUCACCCCUUUUUCUUUUAAUAAAAUUUCAUAUUUCAUCCAUUUAAUUCUUUAAUACAAAAGACAUGAAAUGCCCAUCAUGGAACAUUUACCUAAACCAUUAUCAUGGAACAUUUACCUAACCCAUUAUCAUGGAAUAUUUACCUAAUCCAUUAACAUGGAACAUUUACCUAACCCAUUAUCAAUUUGUACCAUGAAUUAUGGAUAUCAAGUGCUCAUAUUUUCUACAACAACAUGAUGGCUGGCCACUUCAUGUAAAAUGGGAGGUUUGACAUGCAAAUCCUCCUAUUUUGCACUACUAUUUAUUUGGCCACUACAAAUUAGCCUAUAGCAUUUUCAAACAUUUUCACAUAGGUCCUAUUUCAUAAUUUCAUUCACAAAUGACAAAAUCAAAGCAUGAAAUUUUGCCAACAUUCACAGAAUUCCCGAAAAUUGGGGCGUUACAUGUAAAGUCCCUAGUCAAACGUGCAUAUAACCCUAAUGACAUGUCAUACGUAUCCUAAUAUUUUACUAAGUUCACACUGGCAUAAUUUCUUUAUAUAUGUCAUUACCAAUUCAUGUACAAGAUUACAUAUUUUGUUUACGAGUUCUAUAGUUAUUUAACAUUCAUAUCUGCACCCUAUUAUAUUUCAUAAUAACCAAGAUUCACAUUACUUUUCACUUCAAUUCAUUUUAAGCCAUAUGUGCCAAAAUCACUAAAAUCUACACAAUUCUAACACAUAAAUAAAUUCAAACAUAAUUCAAAUAUAAAAUAAAAUAGGGUGGUAAGUCCCAUAUGAACUUACCUGUUCCAAAUAUGUAAAGUAGAUCCAUCAAGGGCUAAUAUACAAUUUUAGGCUUUCCCUAAUCAACUCCACUUCUAUCCGGUUCUUGAUCGAAACAAUCAUUUUAUAUCAUAAAUCAAUAUCAAAUACUUACAUUAUAUGUAUAAUAUGUAUGAACCUAUAUGAACUUGAUUCUUUUGAUAUCCUUAAAUUUUUUUUACUUUAUUCAAUUUAGUCCUUGAACUCGGAAUAGUCAUAACUUUUAGUUCCUAGCUUUAGAUUAAAAUCUAAUUUAAUAUAUUCUCAUUAGGGACCUUAUGCUUUCUAUUUCUAAUAUAAUUUCAUAACAAGUUUUAAAUUUAUUUAAUUUGGUCCCUAAUGUAACAAAGUUAACAACAAGCUAAAUUAAGUUUAAAAUCUAGUUCUUUUUAUAUUCUAAACUUAAAAUCUAUCAAUUUCAAACCUAACUGUUCAAGAAAUAAACAAUGAUAGGUUUCUAACACUUUAACAAUUUCAUAAUUUAGUACACAAGCUAGCUAAAUCAAGCUCCCAUAACCCUAAAUCUAUAAAAAUUACAAGAAAAAUGCUUGAAUUUACUUACAAAAUUAUGACCGAAUGGUAUAACGUUUCCUUGGAUUUUUUCUUCAUGGAAGGCAAGAAGAUAAAGAUGAAACAUGGCUUUAACAUCUUUCUCCACUAACUUAAUAUAUAUAGUUGGAUUAAGGCUUAAUUGAUCUAGUUUAAUUUGAUUUAAUCAUGAUUUACUUGCAUUAAUUUAAUUACUAGUUUAACUUAAUGAAAUGACAUUAUCAUUAACUAACUCCAAAUUUAGAAUGCUUUAAUUACCAUUUUGGACAUUUGCUAAUUGCAUUGCAAGUCCUCAAAUCUUUAGCCAAUUAAAAUUCUAUAGCGAUUGGCCUUUACAAUUUAGUCCUUAAGAUUUAAUUAACUAUUAAUUCAACAAAAUUACUGGACCUAAAUUUAAUAUAUUUUUUAUAUCAUCCUCAUAAAUAUUAAUAUUUAAUGGCUCGCUUUAAGGAAAUGGGGUUUCAAAACCAUAUUUUCUGGUACCACUGAAUAUCAGACUAUUCUAAAUCAGUUGUGUUGAUUCUUUUUUUACUUUUAUUUUCUUUUAGCUACUAGUUUUCGUUCGAACUAUCAUUUGAAUGAAUGUUAAACAGAGUUAAUUUAUCAUAUUGGUAGACUAAUUAAUUUUCAAUUUUUUAAAAUAAACUCUUUUCCAAAUAUUUUUUGGUUUUCCUUCAAAACUUAAUCUUCUUAUUUUCUCUUUUGAAAUCUAGAGCUUAAACCCAAAAGUUAGCUUUUAAAACUACUCUCCUAUUCUUUUUUUUUUCAAAUCAAAACCAACACCCAAAAAAAUGUAUUUUAGAAUCUUUCAAAAUUUUUAACAUCAAAAUCUCUUAAUGCAAGCAAAAAGUGGAGAAUAAAAUCCCUUUAUGCAAACAGAUUUCUCUCAAUCAUUUUAAUUUUUGAGGAAAAAAACGAAUAUGAGUUUUGAUUAUAAUGAAGAAAAAAAUCAAAGAAGAAUUUAUUUUUUCAAGUUGAAAAGUUGAUAUUUAAUAACAAUAGUAAAAGAAACAAAAUGUUCUCUUUUUUUGAAAAUGAGAGAGGGGAAGCUGCCGACUUCUCAUGAAAAAAUUGGGUCACUUUUGACAAAUCCAAACAAUGAAAUGACAAUUUAGGAGGAGGUUAGUAACAUACUAAAUUCUUAGGUCGAUCUGAUGACCAAAAAUGGAUGUCAUAGAAAGAGAGUUUGAAAGUUUAGCUAUAUGUAACAUCCUUAACCUGUCUCCGUAGCCGGAUUAAGGUUACGGAGUAUUACUAUACAAAACAGAAUGUUCAAAUUCAAAAUAGAAGCAAUUUAUGCAAUUUAAACAUUGUCAUUUAAUAACUCAAUUUAAUUAUAAUAAAUAUACACUUACGGGCCUUGAAUCAAGCUUAUAAGGCCCUAAAAAUAGUUUGAGAACAUUCAAGGAUCAAUUUGAAACAAUAAAAUUUUGGAAAAACUUGAAAAUUUUAGAAACAGGGGUCACACGACCAUGUGACAUAGCCUAGACCGUGUGGACACUCGAAGUCUGGACACACGGCCGUGUCCUAGUCCAUGCCGUGUGUUCACCCGUUUAGGUAUUCGAAUUAGGGACACACGGUCGUGUGCCAAACCGUGUGUGUAUUUGAUGUUGGGUCACACGGCUGUGUUGUAGGCCAUAUGCCAAACCAUGUUACAUGCUGACUUGAGACAUAUGGCUUGUCGUAGGCAAUAUGUCAUAUGCCCCUAAAACAAUCCAAAUCAAGCCUAAAUUCUUGCACACCGAGACAUACCAUACCCAACCUAUUUCACAUGGUUAAAAGUACAUUCAAAACAUCAUAAACCAAAUAUUUAUCCACCCUAUAUCUAACCAAUAUGCCAUCAAAAGGCACCUCAAUUCACACACCAAUUCAAUUCAUUCAAAACUACAUUUCAUACCUUAAACAUACAUCAUACUCACCUACAUAUCUUUGAACCACCUCAUUUAUAUAUGUCAUAUGCUAUAUACUUACAAUGCAUUUAAAAGUGACCAAAAGACAUAUAUUUACCUAUGCAUUUACAAGACAAAAACAAAACAUAUACACAAGAAACAUAACCACAACACCUUGACCAGAUAUCAUGAUUAAAAACUCCUAAUACAUUUGAACCCUAAACAUGCCAUUUAUAACCAUAGCCAAAAUGACCAAAAACUACCAAAAUGGUCGAUAGGUAGUGUGAUAGAGCUCUGGCAAGAUUUCAACCAAUCAAGCUUUUCGAUGAUCUACAAGAUAGAAAAACAACUACGUAAGCAACUAGCUCUUAGUAAGCUCAUAUAAAAAAAACUUAAACUUACCAAACAUAAAACGAUAAACCAUUCAACAUUUCUCAUUAAUCAUAAGGAUAUUUUCCUUUCCUAUCACAACAGUUCACAUGGUUAGUAAAUAUACUAAAAAAUAAAUCACCUAAGUAACAUGGCACAUAUCAUGAAAUGAAUUUCCAUAUACAUACCAUUUAUCACAUGUUCAAUUAGUUCCCUUUUCAAUCCAUUUGCACAUACCAUACUUUUCAUUUCAUAAGUUAAUUAACAUAAACCAACUCAUAUACAUACAUUUCCAUUAAACCUUAAUUUGUCGUUGAACCAUAUAGAAUAACACCAGAUACUCGAGAAAUGCUCUCAAGAAUUUGCCUUUUAAGGUCACUGUAACGUCUUAAUAAUUUCCACAUGAGCUGUGAAAUGGGUUUGCUCACACGAGCUGUGGGUCGGAAUGUUAGCUACACGAUGCUGCUCACACGAGUUGUGGAGAAUCUACAACAAAUGCAGGACCUCUGCACUGGUAGGACAUCUAGGAUCAGCACCUAAAAGCAUAUAAUCCCUAAUGACGUGUCAUUUGUAUUCUAAUUAUUCAUAAUGUUCAAACGAGACUGGUAAAGCAUCCAAUAUCCAAAAGUCAUAUUAUUGUCAAUUUAAAUUACACCUAGCAUAACAUUAAUUAACAUAUAAUCAAAACAACAAUUAAUAAGUUUAAUACUCAUAUGAACUUCCUCGAUUACAACAGUUGUUACAACAAAGUCAAGAACUAAUCCGAGACUUUCACUUUCCCUCGAUUCAAGUCCACUUGAUUCUUUUCUUGAUCUAAAUAAUAACUUUAUUCAAUUAAAUAAUUCAAAUAGCUUAAUAUCAUUAAUUUUAGCUUAUAACCCAUUUUAAUGUGAAUUUAUAAAAUUACCCCUAACAUUUUAACUUUUGUACAAUUUAGUCCUCAAAUCUAAAACUUGUUAAUUAAACAUUUUUAACUAAAAACCAUGCUAACCAAUUUUUAAUAGGUUUACAAACAACCCAUAUUUUCUACUAUUUCACACUAUUAUCAUUGAAUUUUUCUAUUUUCUCAAAUAGACCCUUAAACUUUAAAAUCAUCAAAAAUCAUUUAACAGAAUAUGUCUAUUUAACAACCAAGUUUAAUAAUCUAUCAACUAAAUUCACAAACACUACAAAAUUAUUCAUGGGAAGCCCCUAGACUUUUAACAACUUUACAAAUUGACCAUCAGGCUAGCUAGACUAAUCUAAUACGAGCAAAACAUAAAAAUCAAUAAAAACGAGUAUAAAAUAAAUACCAUGCACAAGAACUAAGCUUUGGUACAAGAAUAUGCAAAUGAAGAAGAUGAUGAUUUUAACUUAAUUAAUUUUAUGUUUAUUUACUAAUUUACCAUCUUACCUUUAUUAUUAAUUAAAAAUUUCAAUUCAACAUUUCCCAUAACUAUCCACUAACAUAUUAUAUGGUAUAUUCACCCACUAAGUCCAUUUAAUUACCUUUUCAUAACUAAUUGAUACAAUUAAUAAAUAGUACUAACUUUUUUAGCUUUUAUGAUUUAAUCCUUUUUACUUAAUUAACUAUCCAAACUUUAAAAUUUCUGAAUGAAAAUUUAAUACGACCUUAACAAAACCACUAUUUUCGACACCACUGAAAACAAGCUGUUACAACUCUCCCCCCUAAAGGAAUUUUCAUCCUCAAAAAUCUUACUAGAGAAUAGGUUCAGGUAUUGCACUUUCAUACCUUUUCUGAUUCUUAGGUAGCUUCCUCGACCCUGUGACAGUGCCAAAGAACUUUAACCAAAGCUAUACGUUUAUUUCUUAAUUCUUUAACUUCCCAAGCCAAUAUUCCAACAGGUUCUUCAUUAUACAACACAUCAAGUCUGACCUGAAUAUAUUAUGUUAUAAAAAUUAAUUUAGGCCUCAUAUUUUUGUCCAAGCCUAUUUAUUAUGGGUUAGGCCUUAGGCAAGAUUUUUCGGCCCAAGCCUGACCUGAAUAUAUUAUGUUAUAAAAAUUAAUUAUAUUAAUGUCACAUGUUAAAUAAUAAUUAUAUAAUUAUAUUAAAUAACUAACCCAAUAACAAUUAAAAUCAUUACCCAAAACCUAAAAAAACUUACGCAACUAAAUAACCUAACCCAAAAUAUAAAAUUUUAAAAAUUAUAUUUAAUAAAAUAAAAAAUAUUAUAUUUUUAAUAUAAUACAAUAUUUAUUAUAUUUAUGCUAGUGUCUUUUAAUAUAAAUGCUUUUUUAAUUUAUGUUUAAUGUGUUAGAAAACUUUUAUUGUAACUUUUUUUAGUGCAUUUAGUGUAUAAUAUCUUUUAAAAAAUUAUUUUUAAAUAAAAAACUAAUCUAAAAAAAAUAUGGAUGGACUAGGUCAGCCCUGAGUGUACCUUUCUCAAAUUGGGUCGGGCUUGGGUAAAAAAGUAAGUUCAUUUUUCAGGUCGGGUUGAGCCUGAGCUUGAAAAAUCGAUCUAGAUACCUAACACCUUGCAUGGCCUAAUAAAAUUGAUGUCAAGUUUGAAAACGGUCAAAAUAAUUUUAAGGUGGAUUUUUGGUGUUGAUUGAUUGUCGGAGAAUAGCAAUCGAUGCUGUCAAGUGAUGACCUUCUUGGCAAUGGUUUUAGAUUCUGGAUUUUGGUAUACAAAAAUUUCUAAUCAAAUACUAAAAUUUUUAGGAGGAUCUCGUUAAAAAUUUUGGUAUUUUAGUAUUGCCUUUGAAAUAUUAGAAUCCAUUAGAAAUUUUCGUAUUACAUUAAAAAUAUUUGAAUCAUGUUAAAAAUUUGGCUUUUUCCAGAAUAAUAUGAAAUUUUUUAAUUACUCAAAUAAUAUGAACUGAGCAUGAGAAUCCCAAAUCGGCAUAAUGGUUGACAAUUUAGGAUAACAACAAUGCAAACAUGAUAGCAUCAUAAACCCAAAUCAUCAGCUUUCUUUUCUUCAAUAGAAAAUGUUACUGUAGAAAAAAAAAGAGUAUAAGAAUUGAAUAGAAAAUUUUUCUUUUUUUCCUUGCACUUCCCCACUUGAUUUGACCUCUUAGCUGUCUAUUCUUUUUUAAUGUAUUUUUUAUUGGUGAAUUAUAAUUGGUUGUACCAAUUAAAACUUUAAAAGAAAAUAAGCCUUUUUAUUUUUUUUACUUAAAAACAAUUAAUUAAAAAUAAAUUAACCUAGGAAAGCAAUUUAUGAAAUUGAAAAGAACUUAAAAUAAAAUUGGUCAUUAGAACUAAACAAAAACAAUAAACCCUAACCCCCAAAAAUUUACAAAGAAACAACUAACAACAUAAAAUUUACAAAGAAACAACUAACAACAUGUUUGGUUGUGGGGUUUAUGAAUUGAUUCUAGCGCAAUUCGGUGGGCCCACCACCAAACAUUAGUUUGGUUGACUAUAAUGAUCUAUUACAGUCCACGUGGAAUAGGGCCUUAUUCUAGGAAAAUGCAGCAUAGGUGUUCUGUUUCUUCACCACUGAAUGGUGAUUCAGCCCAUGUAGAAUAAAUUUUUUCCCCAUUUUCAUUUUUUGCCCCUAACCUUCCUGAAAGCCUCAUCCCUCAAUGUCAGCCUCUCUCACCCAGCCUUCCUUCCUUGCUUCGCCCCCGACCACUUCCGUUCCUUCACUCUUUCAUGUCGGUGUAGCGUAUCGAACCAGAAAAGUAGGGAAAUAAAAGAACAAAUAGGAGAGAGAUCGAGAAGAGAAGAAAGAAGAAGACUAAAAUUCUGAUUUUUCAAUUCCUAACUGUUUUACCAUUUAGUUACAGGUAUAUAUGGUAACCAAAUAACGGACUACCUACAACGGUAACAUUAGAACCUAACACCCCGUUUAGACAAUAACGUUUCUCUAAAACAAGUCGUUUCACUAAAGCGAAACAUACCGUAUUACUAAAGUAAAACAAACAGAAUAAAAUGUAGCGUCCAACCCAAAUGAAUAAUAGAAGCAACAAACAUAUAAAAAUGAGAAAAGCCUUCCACAGCAAAUACCCCAUCUCCGAAAAAGGAUCCUUGUCCUCAAGGAUCAAACGCAGAAAAACAACGUUGAAGAGCCUACAGAUUCACCCAAGUAGAAUCCUCUGGAAAAGUGUCGACCCACUCGACAAGAACCUCCACCGCAGCAGGGUUACCCAAGUAGAAUCCUCUGGAAAAGCUCUGUCUAAUAUAUGGAUCGGCGUCUUGAGAAAAGCUCCAUCAGAACCUGUUGGUGGUAAGGCAGAAGCACACACCGCCGAACCAAUAUGCUUUUUCAGUUGGGACACAUGAAAUGUAAGGUGAAUACGAGCAGAAACUGGUAAUGUUAGUCUGUAAGCGACUUUCCCAAUACGAGCCUCCACGGAAAAAAGGACGAAAAAAUAUCGAUGUGAUAGUUUCUGAUUCUUGAACCGGCGUAGAGAAUGUUAACGAUAUGGCUGUAACUUUAAAUACACUAAAUCGCCCACCUGAAACUCCCACUCUGAACGAUCCCUGUCAGCCAUUUGCUUCAUGUGAUCUUGAGCGCGCAAGAGAUGAAACUUCAAAACCUUACGCAUAACUUCACGGUGCUGUAAAGUACGAUCAACUGUAGCCACCGGAGUUACACCCUCCAAAUAAGGCAAGUGAAGAGGCGGUUCCUGGCCAUACAGAGCUGCAUAAGGGGUAGUGUAAAUAGAGGAAUGAUAGGUGGUAUUAUACCACCACUCUGCUAAUGGUAACCAAGUUGUCCAAGCCGAUGGUUUUUCAUCAGUCAUACAAUACAUGUAGCCUUCCAAACACUUGUUAAGGAUAUUGACCUGACCAUCUGUUUGUGGAUGAUAAACAGUAGACAACUUUAACUUGGCGCCUAAAUGCCGAAAUAAUUCCUGCCAAAAAUGGCUUAAAAAUUUUUUAUCCCGAUCAGACACGAUCGAUUCUGGUAUCCUAUGCAACUUAUAAACAUGCUGUAAAUAAUCUUGAGCAAUAGUUAGAGGAGUGAAGGGAUGAGCCAAAGCAAUGAAAUGACCAUACUUAAUUAAACGAUCAAUCACACUGAGAAUUGUGGAUUUACCCUGAGACAGUGGAAGACCCUCAAUAAAAUCCAUACUAAUAAUAGCCUAGGCACAAUCGGGUAUAGGCAAGGGUUGUAAAAGACCAAGUGAAGUAGCAUUAUCAGUUCUGCAACGUUGACACACGAUGCACUCCCGAACCCAUCGUGUAAUCUAUUUGGAAAGGCCUUUCCAAUAGAGCAAGGCAAAAACUCUAUGACGUGUGGCAUGGAUGCCAGAGUGGCCCCCCUACAGUACUAUUAUGGAAGAGCUCAAAAAUGUGUUUGCGAAGCUGAAGAUCAUUGCCUACCACCAUCUUACCCAACCGACGAAGGAAAGUACCAUGCCACGAGUAUUUGAGGUGGAAACUAGGCUGUUGUUGGACAGCUUGAUGUAGUAGGGAAAGUUUUGGAUCCGUGGCAUAAGAAGCUUGAAUACGAUCCCGGACCUCUGACCAAGAUGAUUGCAAGCUGACUUCACACUGAAGCAGUUGCUGAGUGGGAUCAGGAGGUUUCCUGAACAAGGUAUCAGCCAUCGUACUUGGGUACCGUGCCAUAGAAGAUAGAAAAUCAUAACCGAGCAUCUUCGCAACCUAUUUUUGUUGGUAAGGUGUAAUUGUCUGAUGUUCAAAGAGGAAUUUUAAACUUUGGUGGUCGAUUUUAAUGAGGAAAUGUCGACCAAAAAGAUACGGAUGCCAUUUUUUGACUGCCAAUAAGACCGCAAGCAUUUCCUUGUCAUAGAUAGAUAAGGCCUAAUAUUUAACCCCCAAAGCUUUGCUAAAGUAGGCUAUAGGGUAGCCAUUCUGUUGCAACACAGCCCUGACCCCGUGACCACUAGCAUCAGUUUCCACACAAAAGGGUUCUUAGAAGUUCGGCAAGGCCAGAAUUGGAACUUGACAAAUAGCUUCUUGAAGUUGCUUGAAAGUUAUUUGUUCCGAUUCUGUCCACUGCCAAGGAACAUCUUUCCUCAAUAAGGCAGUAAGGGGUUUUGCCAAUAAAGCAUAGCUCUUGAUAAAGUGUCUAUAGUACCCCGACAAUCCAAGAAAACCACGCAGAUCUUUAAUUGACUUGGGAAGUGGCCAAUCGAUAACACCAUCUACUUUGGUACGAUCCAUGCUAACUACUCCAUGAGAAAUAAUAUGGCCGAUGUACUCAACUUGAGUAGCUCCAAAAGUGCACUUGGAAUGCUUAGCAUAGAGUUGGUUAGAGCGUAAUACUUGAAGUACCUCCCUCAAAUGAAUCAAAUGAUCAGUCCAAUGCUACAAACACACUAAGAUGUCAUAAAAAAAACCAACUUACACAAGAAAGAUCGAAAGAUCGAGUUCAUCAAUGACUGAAGACUGGAUAGAGUAUUGGUCAAGCCAAAUGGCAUGACCAAGAAUUCAUAAUGUCCAGCAUGAGUUCGAAAGGUUGUUUUAUGCACAUUAGGUUCCCACAUUUUAAUUUGAUGAUAGCCCGAACGCAAGUCUGGCUUGGGGAAAAAAUUUGCCUGCCCCAACUCGUCCAAAAGCUCUUCAAUAACUGGAAUUGGAAAAGAAUCCUUGAUAGUCAGUUGGUUAAGUUGCCUAUAAUCGACGCACAGCCGUCAACCACCAUCUUUCUUUUUGACCAUCAUGAUAGGAGAUGCAAACGGACUGCUGUUGCGCCUGAUGAUUCCAGCCUGCAACAUUUCAUUUACCAAUCUCUCUAUCUCAGUUUUCUGAAUAGCAAGAUACCUGUAAGGCCUCACUUUAACCACUUUAGACUCAUCUACCAAAGAAAUCUUGUGAUCCUGUACUCGAGUUGGGGGAAAACAAGUUGGAGUCUGAAAUACAUUCUCGAAUUUGUCAAGAAGACAUUGUAAAUCUGGCGUUAAUCGACUUGAAUGCAUGGUAAGAGUAGUUUGAUCACAAGAGGUUAGUAACAUUGUACACGACCCAUUCCCUACCAAGCUCAAACAUUUGGCAAGUUGCCCACUAGGAAUAAUUUGUAGUGACCUUAGUACUAUUCCUUGCAACACACAGUCCUGUCCCAGGUGCUUAAAUUGCAUAGUCAGGUUGGUAAAAUCCCACACAAUUGGGCCAAGAGAUAACAGCCAAUGAAUACCAAGCACCAAAUCAAAUCCCUUCACUAAUAAAACUGCCUCCCAUGAAACUGCCCUGCACAGACCUUGAAUGGAAAGUCGAACUCCAUUAGCAACCAUCACCCUUAGAGUACUACUAGACUCCACUACUAAAUUCAACCUUUUCGCCAUUUUGAAAUCAAUAAAGUUGUGUGUACUUCCCGAGUCCACCAAUACAACUACUUUCGCAUGGUCAAAAAAAGCUGAAAGUCUCAUGGUAUUAUACUCUUGCAACCCCUGAAAAGCAUGUGACGACAACACUGGACGACCUGGAAUCUGAUCUACUAACUCCAACUGUUCAAAAAAAUCCUAAUAUUCAUCAAGAAAUGGGCAUUUCAUCUCAAAUCCUUGCUUCCAUAUCGGUUCAAUAACGAGUUGAUACAAUUGAGACUUAGAGCAUUUGUGGCCUGGAGAAUACUUUGAACAACACCAAAAACACAGACCCUUCUUCCUUCUUUCUUCCAACUCUGCUUGAAACAAGGACUUAGAUGGAAUUCUUUGUCCUGUCUGUUCUUGUACUGACCCCCAAGCUAAAGUUGAACCCCACGACCCAUGUUGCACUCGAGAAAUAGGAAGUAAAGGUCUCAAAGAAUUAAAACCACCACCGAUAGAAUUUCCUUUUUUAACUUGUCCAAAGUCAAUGUUCUCAACUCGCCUAGCUAAGUUGAAACCCUCCACCAACAAUUAAGGUUUAAACAGCCUAAGAUACUGCCCGAUCUUAGGUUUCAAAUUACUAAUAAAUAUGCUCAAAGCAUAAGUUUCAGGUAAGUUCAACUGGUUCAGCAAACUCAGAAAACCAUCAUGAAACUGAUCAACAGAUCCGUGUUGUUUAAGAGUCACUAACUCAGUCAUCGGAUCAAGGAAAGAGUCAGAGCCAAAACGCUCCUUAAUUCCUCUAUCAUACAUCUCUCAUGGCAAAAGAUGUAACCCUCAUUAUCUGUGUAUAAAGAAAUGGUGUCAAUCUAGGGCCUUCCCUUCUAAAUGCAACAUCACCACCCGAAUCUUAGCAUGCUCUUCUAUUCCUUCAGCCUUAAAAUAUUGUUCUAAUUUAGACCACCAGCUCCUAAAAUUACUACCAUCAAAGUGAAGACAAUCUACUCGAAAGGAACCAAUCCCAAUCUCACCCGUACCUCCUCGCAAGGACAUCCCCGAAUGUCUCAAAUCAGGCAAAGGUGACACUACUAAAUGUUCUUUUGAAGGAAAACCAAGAAGAGUACCCAAAAUUCCCUUCCAUUUGCUUGACAUCACACCAGCCCCUGGAACAGGCGAGCUCUGUCCAAAAUAUUGUUCAAAUAAUGAAUGAAGCUCAGAUCUAAGUUUAGAUCGUUCCUCUAACUUAAUUCCCUCAUGAAAAUCUUUCAACCGCGCAUCAAUCCUUGCAUCUAACUGAGAAAACUCAAUUUGAAGCUGCACGGGCUCUCCCUACAGUAUUCUAAGUUGCUUCUGCAUCCUCGUUGAUACACCUUCCACAGCCAUAAGAAUCGAACCAGCUCUGAUACCUUUGUAGCGUAUCGAACCAGAAAAGUAAGGGAAGAAAAGAACAAAUAGGAGAGAUAUCGAGAAGAGAAGAAAGGAGAAGACUGAAAUUCUAAUUUUUCAAUUCCUAAUUAUUUUUCCAUUUAGUUACAGGUAUAUAUGGUAACCAAAUAACGGACUACCUACAACGGUAACAUUAGAACCUAACACCCCAUUUAGACAAUAACGUUUCUCUAAAACGAGUCGUUUCACUAAAGCGAAACACACUGUAUUACUAAAGUAAAACAAAUAGAAUAAAAUGCAACGUCCAACCCAAAUGAAUAACAGAAGCAACAAACAUAUGAAAAUGAGAAAAGCCUUCUAUACUAGUCGGUCAAUUGAAGCCACAAGUUCCCCCACUUUUUCUUCUUUUUCUUUUCCCUUUCAUUAUUAAAUCAAGUCAGUCGAUACCGUCAGUUCUUCUUAAAUUCAAAACAAAGGUUAAGUCUUUAUCUAAUUUUCUCAUGCAAUUUGUUAUUUACGUAUUUUUUUUAUUUUCUUUUUAUGUUUAAUCUGAGAUAAAAAUGUAAAUAUUGUACUGAUUUUUUUUUUUCUAAAUCCAAAAAUUAGGGCUUCAAAUUGCAUUAUUCUUCCUUUAAGCUGUUUUGUCACUGAAACAAACAGAUCUGCUCAAAGGUAUACUUGAAAUCCAACUAUCAUUUCUAUUUAACAACUUCCUAUUGAAGGGUUAUCCUUUCUUUGGUUCGGUCUUUUUUUCUGUUGUGCCUAAACUCUAGAAAAACCAUAUAUAGUGUAAUGUAUGGCUUUAUUGUUUCUGUUGUUUUUAUCUAUUUUCGCUAUUUUUUAUGUGUAUUCACAAUAUCUUUCACUUAAUGCUUAAAAAUGGAGUAUAUUAUGAUUCAUUAUUAGUAUUUUAUUGGUGCAUUUGAAAUUUCUUCUGUUUACUUCUUUUUGGCCAUGCAUUGCUGGUCAACAAUCUAUUGUCUUCAAAAUUUUGAAGAAUUUUUCUCUAAUGUAUAUGAAAUCCUUUAUGGUGCACUUUACUAAUAUUAAUAUGUGUUCAUUGUUUUGGUAUAAUUAAAUGAUAAGUGCACUAAUUUUUAUUUGUUCAUUGUUUUGUGCUUUAAGCAAAGCCUUAUUUUGCUUUAUGGUAAUUGUUUCUCAAGCUUUUUAUUUUUACUUUUAUAGUUAUUGGAAAAGUAGAUUUCUGAUGUAUACUGAACAAUGUGAAUCACAUACUAUUUUUGAAUUUGUCUAUCAGUGUAUGUUUUCUUCAUGCAAAGAUUUCUUUCUCUACAUACAUAAUCCUUUUUAUCUUAGAAUUUCAUUUUUUGUGUUACGUAAUGUAAUAUCCUGAUUUUGGGCCUAGUCGGAAUAGUGGUUUCGUGACCACAAAAUCCGAGAUAGAAAUAAUUAUUUUAUGAUUAUUUUGAGGUCUAUGAUAUGAUUGCAUGAUUGUGUGAAAAUUUCGUGAAGAAAAUUUAUGCAUAAAGUGCUUAAAUUGAAAUUAGGGACUAAAUCGAAUAAUUUGUAAAACUUGCAUUCUAGAAGUUUCUAGUAUGAAAUUGUUUUGAAAUAUUAAUUAGGAGGUCUUAAAUAAAAAUUUUACCAAUUUCUAAGUCUAUGGACAAAAAUUGGACAUGGAUGGAAUUUUUGGAAAGUUUAGUAGUAAGGGCAUUUUGGUCAUUUAGGGGUAAAAUGAAUUAAAAUACAAAAUUAAAAGCCAAUUUUGCUCAUCUUCAACCCCAUGGCUGAAUAUAACAAGGAAAAACAUAGCUAGGGUUUUUCAAGCUUUCAAGCUCGAUUGUAAGUCCAUUCUAGCCACGUUUUUCAAGUUCUUUACGUUUUUGGAGUCCCGGUAGCUCGAUUAAGCUUAUGCUAGCAAUAAUUUAACCUAGGGUUUAUAUUUGGAAAAAUACCUAUAGGUGAAAUUUGUGUAUUUUUAUGUUUUAUGAUAGAAUAUGAGGUUUUAAAUUAUGUCAGACAACUUGUGCUACUCGGUUUUAAGUGAAAACAAGUAAAAGGGCUUAAUCGGUAAAAAUACCUAAUAGUCAUAAGUACAUGUUAAAGUGAGAAUUUGAUGUUGCCAUAGAAGGUAAAAAUGAUCAGCAUGUCAUAAAACAUAAGAAAAUAGGCUGAAGUUUAAUUUACGAGCUUUGGGGAAAAAGUGUAAGUAUGCAAAAGUUUAGGGGCAAAAUUGUAAUUUUUCCAAAAUAUGAUUUUGGGUCAAUUUGAAUAAUGUGAGUCCUAAUUAGACUAUAUUUUAAAUGAUAGAGCAAGAAAAACUAAAAUUCGGGCUAAAAUGGAGAAAAUACCAAUUUGUGGACGAAAUGGUAAAAGUAGCCAUUUUCGCAUACGAGGUAAGUUCAUAUGUAAAUGUUGGUAACAUAGUUAUUAUUUUAAAUGUUUUAAUGUUAUUUAAAUGAUAUGAUAAUUAUUAUGAAAUAUCAUACUUGUGACAAUUGUUUGAUAAUAUGUCAAAUUAUGUGAUAUACUUGGAAAAUGUGAAAUACUACCAAGUAUCGGUAUCGGCAUUCCGUAGAAGAUGGUUGAGACACAUGAUUGGGAAAAAGGUCCCGUUGAACCUUAGGAAUGGAUUAGGAUACAAGUGACAUGUCACUAGGAUGGUUGAGCAUCCGAACUCGUUGAGUUGAGUCCGAGUUCACUUAUGGAUGCAAAUGUCCGAACUCGUUGAGUUGAGUCCGAGUUCGUGAGAUGUAACUAGGCAUCUGAACUCGUUGAGUUGAGUCCGAGUUCACUCAUGGAUGCGAAUGCCCGAGCUCUUUGAGUUGAGUCUGAGUUCGCUUAUGGGCGGGUUACAUAGUAGCUUGGCUACAUAUGUGGCACUUAUGUGCAAACUUUUCAUGUAUCUGAAUUAUAUUCCGAUGUAUUCAACGGGUAAAGUUCUACUCAAAUGGAGGAAUACUCAAGAUGAAAGGGACGUAUUGUUAAGUGUUGUGAAAUGGAUACUUUGAACAGGUAUGUACUUAACCCUCGGGUUGAAAACUCGAUAUAACAACAAUAUGGUAAGAUGAUAAAUGAAAAUGUGAUAUGAAUGUCUUGGUGAUGAUUAUGCAAAUGAUGUUUUAUGUUUGCUUAUAUGGUUAUGUUACUUGAUAUUUGCAUGUGAACUUAUUAAGCAUUUAUGCUUACUCCCUCCUUUUUAUUCCUUGUAGUUUUAACAAGCCAGCUCGGAAAUCGGGAACGGUCGGAGGCUCGCUCACACUAUCCGUAUACCAUCUUGGCAUAAUGGCUUGUAUAUUUUGAGUAUGGCAUGUAUAGCAUUAUAAUCAUUUUGUAUAUAUGGUCUUAUGAUAUGGUUAUUGAGUGGUAUGGAAAUGCUUGGUAAUGAUUAGCCAUUGGAAUGGCUAAUCAUGAUCAUAUUUGGUGUUAUGUAUGUCAAAUUGCUAGCUAAUCCAUGGAAACCAUGAAAUAGGAAAAAUUUACCAUAAAAUAGAUUCAGACAGCAGUAGUGACGUGAAUUUGAAAAAUCACUUAAAAUAGUAGAAAUGGAAUUAAAUAAUGAAUAAGUCAUGAAAUUGAAUAUUGAUGAGUCUAUUUUCAUAUGGAAGAAGCGAAACAGGUAUAUGAGCUAUAUUUUAUGAGAUGUUUAAAUUUUUGUGAAACAGGGCCAGAGCGAUUUCUGGAUCCCCUGUUCUGACUUUGGAAAUUCACCAUAAAUUGUUCAAAGAUAAUUAGAAGUCAUGAUUUAUAUGUACAGAUUUCUUAUUGAGUCUAGUUUUAUUAGAAAUAAACGGCAUAGUCAUUGAAACUCUGUACAGGAAGAUAUCUGAUUCGUAAUACACAGAGGUCAGAGCAGUUGAACCCUGAAAUAGGGGAGACUUUAACUAAUAAACUGUACUAAUUGGCUUGACCAAAAAUUCUAGAAAAAAUUAGUAAAUAUAUAUAUGAGUCUAGUUUUAUGGAAAAUUUACAAAAUUGGAUUUCAAGUUUUGUAACUCGAGAUAUGAAUUUUUAAACGACUAUGAUGCAGAUUGUUAGCUUGACUAAAAAUUUUAAAAAUAAAUUGUUUGAGCUGUUUAAGUAAUGAAUUAAGUCUGUUAACACCUCGUGUUUGACUCCGGCGAAGGUCUCCAGUACGGGGCAUUACAUUUGGUGGUAUCAGAGCAGGUUUAGUCGGUUCUCGGACUAACCUAGCAUGUGUAAAAGUUUAGCUAUACAUGCCACUGAUCUGUGAUAGUAUGAUGUCUUCCGACGCGUAUAAGUACCGUCUUAUUUAGACAGGGUACUCUCCAAUCGAGCUGCGCUGACCAUGUUCAAUGUUAUGUGAAGGUAUUUGAGUAAAAUUAUGAUUAUGAUAAGUCUCGGUUCAGAAAAGUAUGAAUAAAAGUUUAUGAUACAUAUGUGAUAAAUAUCCAUAUUUGCUUAAUGCUCAUACGAUGUAGUGUAUGUGGCUUACUUGAUAAGAUGAACGGAAUAAAUAGAAAGUAGUAGAGGUAUGAAUAAAGGUCAUAAUAUCAUGAUACGAAUGAAAAUGUCCUUGUCUUGAUUGGACGUUGAAUGUUGAUGAAUGUUAAUGAUAUACAAUUUUUAUGAGAUAAAGGAUUAUAAUGAAAUGAACUUAUCUAUGUUAAAUUGUUGGACUGAAUUAUAUGAUUGUAAUGAUAUAUACAUGAUGAUGCACGAAAUGAAAGUUGUGAUUGUGAUGCAAAUAUCUACGUUUGUUUGGCCUUAUAUGAUGUCAUGAGCAUGAAUUAAUUUAAUUAAAUGAAUGGAUAAGUAAAGCUAUCUAGAAAACAUAGAAUGUAUGCAUAAGUAUAUUGUCUAAAUGGGACAAUAGGAAAAUUGGUGUAAGCCAACAUGAAUGUUGCAUUGCCUGAAUGAAUGACAUGAUUUUGAUGAUGGAAGUUGUGUCAUAUGUGUAUGUAUAAGAAAGUCGAGUCAGAGGUCCUACAACCCCUCCCCCUUACCGAAGUGGUACUUAUAAUGGAAUUUCAUGAGAUUUGUAUUGAAUAAGUUUCCGGUUGAGAACCCAAAGAGUUCAGUGAUAAAAUAAUUAUAAGUAUGAUCAGAGAUUGAAAAUGAGCUGAUAAGUAAAGUCAGAGUCAGUAAAGUAUCGGAUUGAUAUAAAUAUUAUUGGAAUUAUGCACUGUCCCAGUUAAAGAAGGAAAUUCUCUUUGGUAAAUCGAAUUACUCAGGUGCAAGGUCGAGAAAAGUGUAAAUCAAAAAUUUAUUCAGAACUGACCUUCUUUAGUGAAUGAUUUAAUAUGAAAUUUGUGAUGGCAGAACUAGUUGGGGAAAUGAUAUUUGAAAUGUGAACUAUCUAAGUGUGACAGUUAUGACUGGACAGAUUUAGCAGUCUCUUUUGAGAUGUUCUAUGUGUUUACCCGUUCUCAGAAAUAUUUCUAUGGCUAUUGAUCUUCUGAAGAAAUUCUUGUUAUAUGGGAAUGUCUUCUAAUUCUGGUGUUGGAUGAAAGCAUUGGUAGUCUGACUAGUUUAUAAUUUAUAUUGCUCUAUUUCAUCGGGUAUUCUAUUUCAUUUCGUCUGAUAAGAAUUGAUGAGAGAAUACGUAAGAUAUUAUGUUUCUGUUUCUUCUACUUGAUGCUUCAUCUGAUAUAUAUGUAUGGGAAGAUAUAUUGUUCUUGUUAUAUUUGAUUCCAGUGGGAUUAAAUGAUGUUUUCUUUUGGACUUUCUUUCUUUGAAGAAUUAUCGGGGUAUUCUGUAUUUUCUCUAUAGUUUGGUUUUCGAUUCUCCGGCAUAGUAUCAUAUCUUGGGUUUCUUUAUCCUGGAUCUCUUUAUUCUGGAUAUCUUUAUUCUGGGUUUCUCUAUCUUGGAUUUCUUUAUUCGGUUUUCUUGUUAUCUUUGUUCCAUAAUUUGUCAAUUAAGACUCAUGUUCGAAGUGCGUUCUUCAACUCGUCAUAAUCAUGUCAAAUAUGACUAUACUUCUAAUUUGAUCUUGGUAAUGUGGUGAUUUUAGUAUUGGGAUUUUUUCUAAUUUCUAUAUAAGGAUUUGACAUCAGUAAAGGCAUAGGUGAUAAAAGCGCGAGUUUCAGUCGGUAUGGUGAAUUAUUUAUUUGAAAGAUUUCAUGUGACAAUUAUGUCAGGAUUAUUUUUUUCAAGUCUGAUAAUAUAAUUUCAUUUUUGUACGGAUAAAAGAGUAAAUAAUCUGAACGAGAAGUGUAUAUUUAUUAGAAAGAGUUGGAUAUUAGUUAAAAUCACUACGAAUGAUAAGGUUUUCGUCUUGUGAAAGCUGAAAAGUUUAUUACAUGUUGACAAAGUUUGGAUAGAUAAGAAUAUUGGUAACCGAAGCGUCUGAACUAGACUAGUCUACAUUGAGUAAAGACUUCCUGACUUUCAGUAAUGUACUGUUGUAUGAAUUGUGAUGUGUUUCAAGACAGUGAGGUAAUGUGAUAGUUUAGAGCAUUCGAUGUUACAUAAAAUCAAAGUUGUUAAAGGGGUUAAAGCCGAACAUUGGGAUCUAUCAAAAUUAUCCUUGUCAGUGUUGAUAUUGGGAUGGAAAUGAGAAGGAUUAUUCUUGAGGCCAUAUCAGAAAUAUUUCCAUGGCGGAAAGAGGAAAAUGUGAUGUAUCCUAUUGUUAAAUGUUUGGCGAGAUCUAUAAAUCAUAUAUGUAUUGAAUGAAUUCCUGCUCAUCAGAUUCAUGGAAUUUCAGGUCUCUUUGAUUGUUUGAUUUUUUGGAAUUCCGGUCUCCAUUAAAUCAAGUUGAGAUCUGGGUUUUAUUUCAUGAUAUCAUGGGAAACUGAGAAGGGUUGAAAAUUUAAGAACAGUUGAAAGUUGAGACUGUAAGCUUUCAGAUCAUAUGGGAAAUUAAAGAGAUGUAUUGGAGGUACAGCCUAAGUGAAAGUUCUUCGGCAUCGAAUAUGAGAUUAAAAGUGAAGACCACUUUUCUGGUAAGAUUUUCAGGGACGAAAAUCCCUAAAGGGGGGGAGAGUUGUGAUAUCCUGAUUUUGGGCCUAGUCGGAAUAGUGGUUUCGUGACCACAAAAUUCGAGAUAGAAAUAAUUAUUUUAUGAUUAUUUUGAGGUCUAUGAUAUGAUUGCAUGAUUGUGUGAAAAUUUCGUGAAGAAAAUUUAUGCAUAAAGUGCUUAAAUUGAAAUUAGGGACUAAAUCGAAUAAUUUGUAAAACUUGCAUUCUAGAAGUUUCUAGUAUGAAAUUGUUUUGAAAUAUUAAUUAGGAGGUCUUAAAUAGAAAUUUUACCAAUUUCUAAGUCUAUGGACAAAAAUUGAACAUGGAUGGAAUUUUUGGAAAGUUUAGUAGUAAGGGCAUUUUGGUCAUUUAGGGGUAAAAUGAAUUAAAAUACAAAAUUAAAAGCCAAUUUUGCUCAUCUUCAACCCCAUGGCCGAAUAUAGCAAGGAGAAACCAUGGCUAGGGUUUUCAAGCUUCCAAGCUCGAUUGUAAGUCCAUUCUAGCCACGUUUUUCAAGUUCUUUACGUUUUUGGAGUCCCGGUAGCUCGAUUAAGCUUAUGCUAGCAAUAAUUUAACUUAGGGUUUAUAUUUGGAAAAAUACCCAUAGGUGAAAUUUGUGUAUUUUUAUGUUUUAUGAUAAAAUAUGAGGUUUUAAAUUAUGUCAGACAACUUGUGCUACUCGGUUUUAAGUGAAAACGAGCAAAAGGGCUUAAUCGGUAAAAAUACCUAAUAGUCAUAAGUACAUGUUAGAGUGAGAAUUUGAUGUUGCCAUAGAAGGGAAAAAUGAUCAGCAUGUCAUAAAACAUAAGAAAAUAGGCUAAAGUUUAAUUUACGAGCUUUUGGGGAAAAAGUGUAAGUAUGCAAAAGUUUAGGGGCAAAAUUGUAAUUUUUCCAAAAUAUGAUUUUGGGUCAAUUUGAAUAAUGUGAGUCCUAAUUAGACUAUAUUUUAAAUGAUAGAGCAAGGAAAACUAAAAUUCGGGCUAAAAUGGGGAAAAUACCAAGUUGUGGACGAAAUGGUAAAAGUAGCCAUUUUCGCAUACGAGGUAAGUUCAUAUGUAAAUGUUGGUAACAUAGUUGUUAUUUUAAAUGUUUUAAUGUUAUUUAAAUGAUAUGAUAAUUAUUAUGAAAUAUCAUACUUGUGACAAUUGUUUGAUAAUAUGUCAAAUUAUGUGAUAUACUUGGAAAAUGUGAAAUACUACCGAGUAUCGGUAUCGGCAUUCCGUAGAAGAUGGUUGAGACACAUGAUUGGGAAAAAGGUCCCGUUGAACCUUAGGAAUGGAUUAGGAUACAAGUGACAUGUCACUAGGAUGGUUGAGCAUCCGAACUCAUUGAGUUGAGUCCGAGUUCACUUAUGGAUGCAAAUGUCCGAACUCGUUGAGUUGAGUCCGAGUUCGUGAGAUGUAACUAGGCAUCCGAACUCGUUGAGUUGAGUCCGAGUUCACUCAUGGAUGCGAACGCCCGAGCUCGUUGAGUUGAGUCCGAGUUUGCUUAUGGGCGGGUUACAUAGUAGCUUGGCUACAUAUGUGGCACUUAUGUGCAAACUUUUCAUGUAUUCGAAUUAUAUUCCGAUGUGUUCAACGGGUAAAGUUCUACUCAAAUGGAGGAAUACUCAAGAUGAAAGGGACGUAUUGGUAAGUGUUGUGAAAUGGAUACUUUGAACAGGUAUGUACUUAACCCUCGGGUUGAAAACUCGAUAUAACAACAAUAUGGUAAGAUGAUAAAUGAAAAUGUGAUAUGAAUGUCUUAGUGAUGAUUAUGCAAAUGAUGUUUUAUGUUUGCUUAUAUGGUUAUGUUACUUGCUAUUUGCAUGUGAACUUAUUAAGCAUUUAUGCUUACUCCCUCCUUUUCAUUCCUUGUAGUUUUGACAAGCCAGCUCAGAAAUCGGGAACGGUUGGAGGCUCGCUCACACUAUCCGCAUACCAUCUUGGCAUAAUGGCUUGUAUAUUUUGAGUAUGGCAUGUAUAGCAUUAUAAUUAUUUUGUAUAUAUGGUCUUAUGAUAUGGUUAUUGAGUGGUAUGGAAAUGCUUGGUAAUGAUUAGCCAUUGGAAUGGCUAAUCAUGACCAUAUUUGGUGUUAUGUAUGUCAAAUUGCUAGCUAAUCCAUGGAAACCAUGAAAUAGGUAAAAUUUAUCAUAAAAUAGAUUCAGACAGCAGUAGUGACGUGAAUUUGAAAAAUCACUUAAAAUAGUAUAAAUGGAAUUAAAUAAUGAAUAAGUUAUGGAAUUGAAGCUUGAUGAGUCUAUUUUCAUAUGGAAGAAGCGAAACAGGUAUAUGAGCUAUAUUUUAUGAGAUGUUUAAAUUUUGUGAAACAGGGCCAGAGCAAUUUCUGGAUCCCCUAUUUUGACUUUGGAAAUUCACCAUAAAUUGUUAAAAGAUAAUUAGAAGUCAUGAUUUAUAUGUACAGAUUCCUUAUUGAGUCUAUUUUUAUUAGAAACAAACAGUAUAGUCAUUGAAACUCUGUACAGGGAGAUAUCUGAUUUGAAAUACACAGAGGUCAGAGCAGUCGAACCCUGAAACGGGGGAGACUUUAACUAAUAAACUGUACUAAUUGGCUCAACCAAAAAUUCUAGAAAAAAAUUAGUAAAUAUAUAUAUGAGUAUAGUUUCAGGGAAAAUUUAUAGAAUUGGAUUUCGAGUUUCGUAACUCGAGAUAUGAAUUUUUAAGCGACUAUGACACAGAUUGUUAGCUUGACUGAAAAUUUUAAAAAUAAAUUGUUUGAGCUGUUUAAGUAAUGAAUUAAGUCUGUUAACACCUCGUGUUCGACUCCGGCGACGGUCUCGGGUACGAGGCAUUACACGUAAUUUUUUUUGAUAAUCUGUUAAUUUAACUUUGCAGUUCUCACUUGUUUUCUAACCUAUUGAUUUCCAAGGUUUUGUAUGCUUUCUAAUAAGAAAAUUUAUUGCCAUAGAACAAGCUGGAGGAUCUAUACAGUCUUCUCCGCUUUUUGAAGGUGGAACCUUGGGGAAACUGGCCCUGGUAAGUUUAACAAAACUGUUCGAUGGAAAAUUUAGGAUAUAAUCUUAAGGCUUCUCAUUCAUUGGUCUAUUGAACCAUUAAAUUUGGCUUGAAUUUCUUUUCUCAUGUUGUCAAAAACACAGUUAAUUAGAUUUAAGAUUUAAAUGCUUAUCUCUGCCUGCAGCACCUAUAGACAACAAACUUUCUAAUACUAUUAUCUUUCUUAGGCACUAAAACUACUCGAACCACUCAACGAUUAAGAGAUUCUCGAACAUGUCUCUUUUCCAUCUACUUUUCAUUUAUCUUUGUAAUUCCUUUAUCUUUUUGAUAAAUGAGUCAAUUUAGAUUGGAAACUGGUUUCAAAGCUAUAAUCACUUGACUCUUUUGGAUUGGAAACUGCUCACUUGCUCCAUGCAGGACACGUAAAUACACACAUCAAUGAACUCGUAAUAAAAGCAACUGCUCACUUUUUGAUGUUUGCUCUUUUAGAUUGGAAUCAUUAGUUUGUUUUUGUUUUGUAUUGUUUUUUUUUCAUUUUGUAAUAUUUUCAUGUUAAUGAUUGGAACAUAUUUGGUUUUAUCUAUUUUGUGUUGUAACGUUAUCAAAGGAAAAAAACGAAAUAAAAAGAACAUUUUGAAAACGUGCCCUUAAGUUUCUAUUGUUUUUGCUUAGUGUUCUCAUAAUUUUCUAUAUGAUGAUGUAUUAUCAUAUUGAUGUCAACUUUAAAAAUAGUAUAAUACUAGAAUGAAAUCACAAAUUUACCAUCAGUUGUGCAUUACAUAAUAAGUUAUUCAUAUCAUUUUCAUAACAUGCUCUCUCUCUUUCUUUUAUUUUAUUCUUUUACUUUUUAAAUAAAACUGUGAAUUGCAUAGGGUGAACAAAGUUUAAUGCAAAUAAAUGAAACUAAUCAUAAUAGUCAAAUUUAGUUUGAUAGGUUUCGAUUUUAGCUAGAUUACAAUAGUAGGUUAAUUUAUAUUAUGUGGAUUUGGUAUCGAUUUUAGAUUUUAAAACCAUUUUAACCCAAAUCAUCACUUACCAGUACAUUGAUGAGAAUAAGAAGUUGAUUUUGGAAAUUUUGGACAAUCAGAAUCUUCGAAAACUUGUUGAAUAUGGGCAAUAAGUGAUUUAUAAAUUUCAGUUUCUUCUUUUAUCUACCUUACUGUUACUUUUUAGUGGUUAUGUGAAUGUCUUUUGAUAUCAUUGAAGUGUUUUAGGAGGUUUGAAUACUUAUUAAUAUAUCUUUUGCCUUCCAUAUUGGAAGUAAAUAGUUAUUUUUUAUAUCAUUACUUUUUUUUUGCCUUCCAUAUUAAGAGAGUUUCAGGCGUUGGGACAAAUAAAGAACAAUUGAAAAGGCUUUUUUGUUGUGGUUGUUGGGGUGACUCCUUUUAUUUUCUUUUUGUUGCAAUUUGGCCCAACAGAAAUUCCCAGUUUUUGGAAUAAUCUUGGAAUCUACAAAUGGUAUCUCUUUUCUUGACUUUGAUGUAGAGACUAUUAAGAUCAUGGUCUCUCUUUCCAUAUCUGAAAAUUGUAGUUUUACCUAUAAACAGAAGUAUUGUUGUAUUAGACUAAUUUAUUUAUUUUUAUUUUAAAAUUAGAUUUAGAAAUAUAAUUCAAUUAUUAUUAAUGUUAAUAAAAAAAAUUCUAUAAAUUUUGAUUCAUUAUAAUGACAUUUUUCAUGUUAACCUAGGCCAAGUGUAUUUUUUUUGUUACACCAAUAAAUUUAAAACAUAAAUUUUGAUAAUAUUAACAAUUGAAUUUAAAUUUAAAAAUUUUAAAAAUAAAACAACUAAAUUCUUAUAAAUAAAAUUACUAAAUAUUAAAUUUCUUUAUGAAAAUUACAGCAAAACAAAUUCAACAUUUUGAAUUUUAUUUAAAUUAAUCCUUAUGUCAAAUGAAAUAUUGGAUGUGCAUUAAAAAUUUGGCAUAAAUGUAUUUGUAUGUUAAACUAAAACUUAUUUACCAACAAGUAUUAAGAGUAGUAAAGCACACUAAAAUUAGUACACUAAAAUUAGUAUUAAAAUUUACAUAUAUAUAAUCAGUUGAACCUUAAUUUAGUUGACACAAUUACAAGUGUAACAAUUAAGAAUAAUUGAAUUUCAAAACAUGUAUUUUCCUUUAAUUUAAGGAUUUAAAAGAUUAUAAUAGUAGUAAGAAUUGAAUAAAAAAUAAUUUACAUAUAUAAAUAUAGGUGUGUAUUAUUAACAAAUACCAUAUAAUCUAAACUAUUAGAGAUUUGUGGACUCAUUUUCUUAAAGAAAAAAAUGUCAUGUAUAAAAAAGAUUCGGCUACAUAACAAGAUAAAAAGAAAAGAUAAUAUACAAUUUUAAUCAGUCAUUUUAAUAAGAUAAUAGUCAUCAAUUAAUAAAGAAAAGUAGACAUGCAACUAAAGAAAUAAUGACAUAAUGAAUUUAUAUUUAGUAAAAUAAUUUUAAUAGUAAUAACAGUUGGAUUGAUAGAGUGAAUAAAUUGUUAGAAAUAAAAGUAUGUUGAUUAAACAUGUAUUAAGCUUAUCUAAGACAUUUUAAAUUGGUCAAAUUAUAAUUUCAGUCCCUAUAUUACCUCAAAUUUGACGAUAUAGUCACUUUGAUCUAAUAAUACAAGUACUGAAUUGAAAAGAAUCCAUACAUGUAACUACAACAAAUAAAUGGAAGUAAACGAUUAAAGAGCCUACAACCCUGUUAAAAUUUUAAAAUGCAACACGUAAAUACAACAUGUAAAAUUUUGUUCAAGACAUUAUUAUUUGCUAAAUAAAGAGCCAGUUUUGUUGAAUGAAAUUUGAUAAAGAAAUUAAUUUCAAGUUUUUUACUUGCAAAGAUAUUUGUAAUUUCUAUUUUGUGUCCUACAAAGAUUCUUAAUAUGUAUUAUUCAUUUUUCUUUGGUAAUGUGUUAUUGCUUCCUCUUCUUCUUUAGCUCGCUUGAUUGCUUCCUUCACCCACAGCUGAACCUCUUUUAUUUCACUAAAUCACUGUAAGUUCUUUUACAACUAAAUUCUUUGAUUUUUUUUACUAUUAUUAAGAUUAUUAUUGAAGAAAUAUGAUCUUUUUACUAUGAUUUGAAGAUAUGUAAUACUAUAAUACCUUGCACUAAUGAUUUUUUUACUUUAGUAGUAUAAAGUGAGAGGUGUAAAACAAUUGUUCUUGCAUUGACAGUAUGGUUGCAAAUGUGUACAGUUGUGAGUUGGUUCUUAGUUACAUUAGGUGUCAUCCAUAGCGUACAUACAUAUAGACUAAUGAUUAGAUAAUAUAUUUUAGAUUUUUAUGCAAAACAAGAUUAUGUGAAAAGACUUGUAUAUACUAGUGACAAGACCUGUAUUGAACAAGUUAGGAUGAAUAGAAUUAAUUUUUUAAACUAUGUAAGAUGUUACAAACUUUAGGAGGAUUGAAGUCGUCAAGGAACAUGCUUGUUGAUGAGCAAGUAGUAAUGUUUUUACAUAUCAUUUAUCAUCACCUUAAAAAUUGAGUUACCAAGCAUCACUUUAAUAGGUUUGGGGAAACCGUUAGUAAAUCAUUUCACGAUGUUUUAAAUGUUGCCAUACGUUUACAAGAUGUGCUAUGUAAAAAACUAGAGCCAAUUACAACUAAUUCUACAGACCCAAGGUGGAAACAGUUCAAGGUAUUGGAGUGAGUUCCAUAUAUAGCUCAUACAUAAUUUAGUUUAUUUAGAUUUAAAUAUAGUAACUUAACCCGAAGUUUUAUACAUGUGAUAUAGAAUUGCUUAGGUUUUUUAGAUGGAACCCACAUCAAGAUUAGGGUUCCAAUAAUUGAUAAACCUAGAUAUUGAACGCGAAUAGGCGAUAUAGCAACAAAUAUGUUAGGUGUUUGUACACCUAAUAUGCAUUUUGUUUAUGUUCUUCCUGGUUGGGAAGGUUUUGUUGCUGAUAGAUGGGUACUUCGAGAUGUCAUUAGUAUGAGACAUGGACUAAAAGUUCCUCAUGGUAAAGUGCAAAAUUAAAGGAAUUUGAAUUAAUUUUUAAGAUCAAACAUUUUUUGGAAAGUUAACCAUGAUAAAUAAUUUUCUUUUUCUUUUUUAUAGGUUGCUAUUAUCUAGUUGAUAUUGGUUACACAAACUGUGGGGGAUUUCUCGCUCCUUUUAGAAGACAAAGAUAUCAUUUGAAUAAGUGGCAUCAGGGUUACCAACCAAGUACUCCAGAAGAAUUUUCAAUAUGAAAUAGGCUUCAAUGUGCAAUGUUGUUGAAAGAUGUUUUGGGUUAUUAAAACUUAGAUGGGUCAUACUUAUGAGUCCAUCAUUCUAUCUUAUGAGGGUGUAUAAUAGAAUAUUAUUGCAUGUUAUUUGCUCCAUAAUUUUAUUUGAACAUAUAUGAGUUUUGAUCUUAUUGAAACGAAGUUGAGAGAAGGAUUACCUUGUAACGCCCCAAUUUUCGGGAGUUCUGUGAAUGUUGGCAAAGGUUUAAUUAUGUUAGUGGGCCUCUAGAAGGCCCAAGCUUAAGAUAGAACCAGGCAAUUUUAGUUAAUUUUUGUUCCAUAAGAAAAAGGGGGUGAAAUUAUGAAAUAGGACCUAUGUGAAAAUGUUUGAAAAUGCUAUAGGCUAAAUUGAAGUGGCCAAAUAAAUAGGAGGAUUUGCAUGACAAACCUCCCAUUUUACAUGAAGUGGCCAGCCAUCAUGUUGUUGUAGACAAUAUGAGCACUUGAUAUCCAUAAUUCAUGGUACAAAUUGAUAAUGGGUUAGGUAAAUGUUCCAUGAUAACGGAUUAGGUAAAUAUUCCAUGAUAAUGGGUUGGGUAAAUGUUCCAUGAGAAUGGUUUAGGUAAAUGUUCCAUGAUGGGCAUUUCAUGUCUUUUGUAUUAAAGAAUUAAAUGAAUGAAAUAUGAAAUUUUAUUAAAAGAAAAAGGGGUGAAAAGAACAAAGUUUUGUCCAUCUUUGUUCAUCAUAGCCGAAAGUUAGAGAAGAGAAAGGAGAGGAGAAAGCUCUUGAAUGUUCGGUCACUUGGGGAAGAAAAUUGAAGGUAAGUUCAUGGUAGUUUGCUUCUAUCUUGAUGUUCAUGAGUUCUUCUUGAUUCUACCUUAACUCUUGAAGCAUAUUUUGGUUUUUAGUUGUGUUGUGAGCAUUUAGUCAUGAAUUAAAAUGAAGGAAAUGGUUGUUGUUUCAUGUUCUUUUGAUGAAAAAUGGAAGAUAGGUGAAGUUGAGCCAAACAAAUGAGCAUGCAUGUGCCUUAGAUGCUAAGGGGAAAAAUCGGCUAACAUGUUGUGCUUUAAAAUGAUGAAAUGGAGAUUAUACUUAAGUAAAAUCAUAGAUAUGUGAUGAUUGAUUGGUGAUAUACAUGUUUAAAUAACAAGCAUGCAAGUUAGGUGUGAAAGAGUGAUUUGGUAAUAAAUCUGCUUGAGACAGCAGCAGUAACGUGACUUUGGAAAAUCACCAUAAAUUGUGGGAGAUGAGUUAGAAGCUGCAUAAAUUAUGUAAUUAAAGCUUAAUGAGUCUAGUUUCAAAUGGAAUAAACGAGAACAUAUUUUAAAUUCUGUACAAUGAGAAAUUUGAUUCGUAAUGAAGAGUGGUCAGAUUAGUCAAACAGUGAAACAUGGGAAACUUUAAGAAAAAUCUGGUAUUGAUUGGCCAUACCAAAAAUUCUGAAAAUUUUAUGGAUAGAAGAUAUAUGAGUCUAUUUUCAGGGAAAAUUAACGGCACUUGAUUUGGAGUUUCGUAGCUCCAGUUAUAAAUAAUUUAGUGACUGUUGCUCAGGAAGACAGCUUGCAGUGAAAUUAUGAUUAUGUGGUAAACAUUGACAAAAAAUUGUUAAUGAGUUGCUUAUUGUUUUCUUAUAAGCUUACUAUGAUCUGUAGGUGUGGUUGGCCAAAUAUUGUAAGGGGUUAGUACGUAGUUCGUAUUUGAAUAGUUAGAUUAAUGUGUUAGUAAUCCAAUUGUAGGCAGUUCAUGUGUGGAUCUCGUCAGCAUAUCGUCGCAAACAGGUGUGUAACUAACACCCUCUUUCUUAGUCUAGAUCGGCAAAAGCCGAAAAGUCGAAAUGCUGAAAAUCGGUAUUUUGUAGAUUUGCGAGUGUGCGAAUGCUCGUGAGGUAAAUCGAUUAAUGUUUUUGGUAAGCUGCAAUGUUUGGACUGCAAAGUGCAUGAUUUCUGUGCCCUCGAUAUUUUUGGGCUUAAUGGGCCAAAAUUGGAAUGAUGGGCCAACGGGCCCAAUUCGGUAAGAACCUUCGGUACGUGAUUCUGUUAGUACGUGAAAAGUAGGAAUAUGCAUGAAAAACCCUAAAAUAGAUAAAUUACUGAAAUACCUUUAAAAGUGGAAAAUUUACAGUUUUAUCCCUAGGAGAUAAAUUACCGAAAUACCCCUAGGGUUAAAUUGACCUAAAUGCAUGUUUGACUGUUGUUAUUUACUGCAUGCCAAGUUGUUAUUAUCUGAUGCAUGGGACUGGGAUAUUGACGGAGGAAGUACUGAAAGUGGCUUGUCCACGUAUUGGAGGCUUUGCCUCAAUUUACUGUUAACUGAGCAGCAAGGCUGCAACUGUAGAGUGUUGGGCUGGGUGGGUUGAGCUAUUCCCCACAUGGAGUGUAGGGCUGGUACGGGUGGAGUGUAGUGGUUGGUGGGUUGAGUAGUCUCCCCAAAUGGGCUUGCAUAUGUUAUUGAUGUUGCAUGUAUUUUGAAAUGGGCCUAUGGGCCAUACUGUUAUCUGAAUAAGGGGCUAAGGCCCAGUUUAUUGUAAUCUGAAAAGGGCUCUGGUCCAGUACCACUGUUACCUGAAUGGGCUUAGGGCCAAUAGGCUUGAGCUGACUUGGGCUUUGAAUGGGUUUUCCUUACACACUGAGUUUCCCCAAACUCACCCCUUCUUUAACCUUACAGGUGAGCCUUGAUGUGGGUGACUUGGAGCCGGAAGGGAUUCAGAGUGGCCAUGGUGAACACUUUUGGGUUUGAAAAAGAGACUGGUUUUCUUAAGUUAUUUUUAAUUACUAUUUAAUUUUUGGGUUGUAAUAAGGCCAUUUUAACUUUAUUUUCUUCUUUGAUUUUCUAGGAUUAUAUUAUUUUAAACAACUUUAAAUUGAUGGAUAAUAAUUCAAAUGGGCUAGACUUAGGGCGUGGAUUCAAAACGAUACUUGUUUUUUUUAAAAUAACACGACGUCACGAUGGAUGUGGACAUGUCUAGGAUUGGAUCCAAUCGGAGAGCUUGGUACUUAAGCAGCCUUCAUGGCUCACCUCCUCUGUUAUGGAUACCUACCUGGUGCCCAGCUUCCAUUCACUUGGUUAGUUUGACAAAAGUCGGCUUUUUAAAACACUAAAAAGGGAACACGGGUUUUUGACUUCAAAGUGGCACAUUGGAUUCGGCCUUAACGUCUGGGCCGGGUUUAGGGUGCUAUAUACCUAGUAAUGUGAUAGCUGACGAUUAGCUGAAUCUCGAAAAUAUUCAUCCAUUGGAUACAUAAGCUACUUGGAGGAUGGAACUAGCCAAUCAAAUAUUCUAUGAAUGGCAAGCAUCUAGAAAUUAGUUAGGUUUAUUAAAACAUAGUAAAAGGUUAAUUUGUUUAUAUUAUUUCAUGUAUCUAAUUUACAAAACUUUGGUGUUGUUUGAAUUGUCUUUAUGUGUUGUACUAAACUUGUUGAAUUACUUAUUUUCUUUUGAUUCGUCAUGUGUUAUAAUUUUACAAAGCGUCAACCUUCUAAUUCAUAAUAUUGAACCUAAUUUUAAUUUGCGUUUUUUCUUAAGAUAGUUAUGUCAGGCUUUUCACAAUCAAGUGUUUCUUCCCAAAAUUCUCUAGGAACCAAAAGGAAAUGGGUUCUAGAAGAAGAUGUUGCAUUGGUUGCAUGUAUGGUCGACUUGUACAAUGUUGGAACCUAUAAUGCAUAUAUGAAUUCAAGGAUGAUUAUUUAAAUGAGCUGGAAAGAAUGUUAGAAAAAAGUUUUACCUCAUGCUAUUUGAAAGCUAAACCUAAUUUUGAAUCGAGGAUUAGGAAAUUGAAAAAGGAUCGGGCAAUCAUUUACGACAUGCUCAGUGAUAAAAAAAAGACAAUAGCAGCUUUGGUUGGGACGAGUAUAGACAGUGCUGUUGCUGAAGAUGCUGUGUGGAACUCAUAUAUAAGUGUAAGAAUUAUUUCAUAUCUUUAUUACCUUAUUUUGACCAAACUUAUAUCUAAUGUAGAUUCCUUCUUUUUUUAUAGAGUCAUAAAGCAGCCAGUCAAUUCAGACAUCACAGUUUCCCUUUUUAUGACCAACUUACUUCCAUAUAUGCAAAAAUCAAGCCACUGAGAAAGAUGCUCAAAUAGCUGCAGAUAUUGUUGAAGAAAUAGAUGUUGAGGAUGUAGUUACUGCAAAUAAUCUUAAAGAAGGAAACAAUUACCGUGGAUGCGAAGAUGAUAUUUCCUUGAAUGAGAUGGAUGUCUCAGCUACACAAUUGCAACUGUCGAAGCCAAACCAAGAUGGUUCCACAUCUUUAAAGAAGAAAAAAAAGAUUUCUGAUGGAAGUGAACAAAUUUAUAUUUCAAUUAUUGAUGCUGCCAUGUUAUUGGGGGAAAACAUAUAGAUUGUUAGCCUUGAAUUAAAUAGGAGCAUUGCCUUCAAGAAAGUGCUCAAAAAUUAUAUAUGAUCUUAUGCGAAGUAGAAAGAUUAACUGGGGAUGAGUGCUAUCGUACGUUGAGCAAAAUUCCUGAUCAUCUAACAUAAAUGCUCAUUUUCUUUAGUCUACCUUCUUCAGUCCAAUUAGAAUGUGUGAGAAGAUUUCUUUCUGACUAUUAAAAAUCAUGGUUGUGCUGGUGAUGUUUUGGUAACUUUCUGUAUAUGUAAUAUUUGGAUGGUAAGAUGCCAUUAGUAGAAUGCCACAAACUGUUGUAACUUUUUGGUGUUGUAAAAUUUAACAUAUAGAUUAUGGCAUAUAAGCUAAUGACAUCAUGUAACUUGUUGUUAAUGUAUGAAUAUUAUGUUUGGAUGUAAAAUAUAACUCUCAAGCUAUUUAUUAGUUCUAAUCUUUUACUUUUUAGUUUAGAAGAUAAUUAAAUUAUUUGUUUCGCUAAUGAUAUUUUAGCACAUUAAAUAUGCAUUGCAGCUUAAAAAUAAUAAUGUAUGUUAUAUAUUAUUUUUAUAAUAUUAUAUAUUAUGAUUUCUAUUAAUUCAUAUUUUAAUAAUAAUUAUAUUAAGAAUGUUAUUAAAUUAUAUUUAAUAAUAAUCUUAUUAAAAUUUAAUAAAUAAUAACAAUAACCAUCUAUCUAAAAAAAAUUAUUAUGAGUACCUUGGUCAUUUAAACAUUUUUCCUUAUGCUAUUACAACAUCUAUUCCAUUCAACCAAAUACAAUGAUACUAAUAUAGAUCUAUUCCAUUGCAUUCAACCAAACACAAGAAUACUAUUAUAGCUCUAUUCCAUUCCAUUCAACCAAACAACUGAAUUACUGAUUACAGCUUUAUUCCAUUACAGUUCUAUUACAUUACAGCUCUAUUCCAUUAUAACCCUGUUUCAUUAUAUUAACCAAACAACUGAAUUACUGAUUAUAGCUCUAUUACAUUACAAUCUUAUUUUGUUCCUCCAACCAAACGUGUUGUAAAUAUUAUUUUUAAAAAAUCUAAGCCCUUUUUCACGAUAAUCAAAUAACCAACAAAUUUGGAUUUUUAUGACACAUUUGGAAGGGGGUUAAAUUAUUGAUAUAUACAGUUUUUUAUCAAAUUUAAAAAAUUAGGCUUUUUUUAUAUUUAUUAGUAUAAGUUGUUUUUGGAGAGAGAAAUAAAACGUGUUCUACAAGGUACGUUUCUAUUAAAAAUUAAUAAUUUAGUUCCUUUGGUUAGAUGGUUAAAUGUUUAGUGUUUUUAUCCUUGAGUCCUAGGUUCGAUUCUUUUUCUAUUCACAUUUAUAUUUUUUAUUUUAUAUUGUUUCAAACUUUUUUAUUUUUAAUUAACAUUUUUAAUACAUUAGCUCUUUUGAUUAGAUGUGAUUUUAUUCUUAAAUCCCAAGUUUAUUUUCUCUAAUAAGCAUUUUAAUAUGUAUUUUUUAUUUCAUGGUGUAAUUAAAAAAACUUGAGACACCAUGAAAUUAAAAAUACAUAAUUAUAAACAUUAACUAAAAAAAAACUUGAAACACCAUGAAAUAAAAAAAUACAUAUUAAAAUGCUUAUUAAAGAAAUUGGACUUACUUAAUGAUGAAAUUUUAAUUAUCUCACCAUCUAACCGAAAAAGUUAAUUAGUUAAAAAUAUUAAUUAAAAAUAAAAAAAGUUCUAAAUAACAUGAAAUAAAAAAUAUAAAUGUGAGUAGGAGAGGAAUCAAAUCUGAGACUCAAGGAUAAAAACACUAAUAUUUAACCAUCACACUAGAAAAAUUAAAUUAUCAAUUUUCAGUGAAAACACUCAUUAUAAUAUACAUUUUUACUUUUUCUCCAAAAAUGACCUAGACUAAUUUCUUAAAUUUUAUAAAAAAAUGGCAUAUAUUCAUAAAUUAAUAGAAGAAGAGGUUUCAAUUAAUUUUAGGUUUCAAAAUAUUUUGAGAUUAAAGUUUCUUGGGUUUAGAUUUAGCAAACGGAACUACAAAAAAACAAAAAGGGUAAAUGGAGUUAGGGUCAUUGUUUCCAAUUUUUUAUCUUUAUUUACAUGGACAAAUCUUUCUUUUUAAAUUUCCUUUUUAUAGGUUAAUUAUUUUUAAAUUUAAAAAGUAAAAGGAGUUAUUUAUUUUUCAAGCCCUACAUUUACUUGUUAUAGUCAAUUAAAAAAAGAAAAAGCUAACAGGCCAAAUUAAGUUGGAAGUUGAAGGGAAAAGAAAAUGGAAAAUUUUCAUUCAGUCCUUUUACACUUUUUUUUCUAUAACAGGCGAUGCCAGAACAAAUUUUUAGGGGAGGUCGAAUAAAAUUUUAAUUUUUUUAUAGUUUAUAUAUUUAUAAUUUUUAAAUUGAUAAAAAUUUUAUAAUUUUAAGGGAGCUAAAGUAUAAUUUUAUCUUUAUCAAUUUAAAAUUUAAAAAAAAAUUAAGAACUUAAAUAAUAAUUUUACAUUUUAGGAGGGCCGGGCCUCCUGCCAAUCCCUAAAUUUGCCUCUCCAUGAGAACCCUAAAUCAAUAUCAUAACUCAUGAUUUAGUUUACGAUGUUAUCAUGUCUGACCAAAUAUAUAUAUUAUCAUCACCUCGAAUCAUUAACUAUUAUAUCGAUAUUUGAGAUUUUCAUAUGUCUAGAUUAUUCGAAUAAUUAAAAAAAAUUAUAUUAUUUCUAUAAUUAAUUUUGUUUCCAUAAUGUUCUGAAAAAGAAAUCCUAAAAAUUUUGAUAUCCACUUAAAAAUUUUAGAAGUAGGCUAAAGAAAAAAAAGGAAGCCACCGCUAAAAGGAAAGAAAUUCGAGUAAGCACAAUUCUAUUUUGUCAGCCUCAUUUUUCCCGCCCAUUUCAAUUUUCUUUCCAACCUAUCCAGUGUUUCUGAUUUAACCCUCAAAAAACCCGAUCUUUGUCCAGAUUCUCUGCAAUGCUAUUCACAUUAUAAUCCGUAGUCUCUUAAUCACCGAAACAAAUAAGAAAAAAAAGAUGAGCUCUCCAAUGGAUAUUUCCGUUCCAAACCUCGAGGGCGUCAAGAUCUCCGACCAAAACGGCGUCCCUUUAGCAUCAUCCCCGGCAUCGCCUUCUAACGGGCCUAAUGAAAAAUUUCACGUUUCUGGUGAUUCCUUAGUCUCACUCUUUUCACAAAUUUGAUUUCUUUUUUUAAUGUCUGAUUUAUGUUUGUAUCUGUUCUUUUAUUGUCAGUUGAAGUUUGCUUAAAACCUUCAAGCACAGCUCGCCCUGACGAUGUCCGAAAAGCCGUUGAACAGUAAGAAGUUAAAAUGAUUUUCUUUUAUUUAUUUAAAAAUAUUUGACUGGUGACUGUUGUUUGAUUCUUAUGCUUUAAGAAUAUGCUAAUUUUAAAGAGAUUAGGGUUAGUUUUGGGGGUUUUUAACUGAAAUGCUGAGAUUAAGCUAUUCUGUUUUGCAAUUAGAAUGCUUGAAAAGAGAAGCCUGAGCUACGUUGAUGGUCCCAUUCCUGUGCCUAAUGAUGAUCCAUUUCUCAUGGAAAAUGUACACAGAAUCCGUAUAUGUGAUACAGGUAUAUUUUACUUUUUCUGUUGUCUUUUGCUAUCUUUUUGCGUUUGAAGUUUUUAGUGAAAGUGAGAAAUGAGGAAAGUAAGGAAAUGUAUAUUUUUGACAGAUUUGAUUGUUAAAUUUGAGGCAUUUAGUUUGAUAAUUGAUUAUCUUAUUUUUGUUCAAGAGUUCAAUUAUUUAUGGAGAGAGGCUGGGGGAUUAUAAUGUACUCAUCUUGUUCAAAUUGUUGGUUUUGUAGAUGAAUGGGUGAAAAACCAUGAUAUUCUUUUGUUCUGGCAAGUGAAACCCAUUGUUCAUGUCUUUCAGGUACAACGCUACUCUAAUCUUAGUAAGAUUAAAAGGUGGUUAUCUUUUUGUGAUUAUGAUUGGCACAUUUUUCCCAACAACUUGACUUAGUAGUGGCUGUUCACAUUUUGUUUGAAAUUGAACCACAUUUCAAAUGGAACAUCUGCUUUAGUUUGUAACAGUAGGAUGUUGAUACGGUGUUUGCUUGGCCUGCAGAAAUUUCAAAUUGUGUGACCAACUCUUCAGUUUAUACUUACUUUAUGUUUGUUUAAAGUUGAAUGGAUAUGAUUGUUGACUUCUCAGCUUAGUGAGGAGGGACCAUGUGAGGAAUUGACUGGGGAUGGCCAGUUGUCCAGCUUCAAUGAAUGGAUCCUACCAGCUAAGGAAUUUGACGGCAUGUGGGAGAGGUUUGUCUGCAGCAUCUGUUUUUCUUGAAGGAUUGAGUUAGUUUUUAUAAUGAUGCUAGAACUUGAUUUUGCAGCUUAAUAUAUGAAUCUGGACUAAAGCAGCGGUUAUUGCGUUAUGCAGCCAGUGCAUUGCUUUUUACUGAAAAAGGUGUUGAUCCUUUCCUUGUGUCAUGGAACCGGUAUGGAAUCUCCUCAUGACUUAAAAAAGUUUCAACAAACUAGUAUCAUUUUGUGCCAAAAAAUAUGAAAGAAAAGAGGAAGUAUCAUUUUUCUCUUUCAAAGCUAGUACCAUGGUCCCUAUUUAGUAAUGAGUCAACUGGUUAGAUUGUUCCAGUUGGGGUUGUCCUAGUUUGACCCCCAAUACUAAAAUUUGAAUUGGGCUUUAGAAUGUAUCACUUGUCUAUCUUUCAGCUUCAUGCAUAAUUACAUGUUCUUGAUAAAUCAACUUUGUUGUGUGUUAAAUUCAUGGGUUAUGGAUCAAAUCACGGAGCUAGUCACUUGAAAGUCUGCUUUGAUUGAGUGAGCAUUUCACUUGUUGCGAUUUCUAUUUUGAGAAGAACUUAUGAUUAAUAGCAUAUGGAACUUGUUGAAGGGAUCUCAUAACCUUAGAACUCGUCCUAACCUUAGACUCGUUGGGAAGAGAGAAUCUUAAAACUUUGUAAUUUGGAUUAAUUGUUUUAUCACCUAGAAUGAUCUCUCUUAAAUAAAGGUUACAUAGGUUUUAUUCUUUGACAUAGGAAACUAAAAUUAAAGACUUUUAAUGCAUAAGAUCCUUGCUAAAAUAAAUUAUUCGAAUUAGGAAUAGGCUUAAUUAAUGGUUUGACCCCUGAAAUAUACCCGCUUUCCUAUUUUGGUACUUAAACCUAUUUUGGCCCAUUUUGAUACCUAAAGUAUUUCUUGGUUAUAAUUUUUAGUCCAAAACUUCACAGUUGUUAAAAAAGAUCUCUAGCCAAUUAAAUCAUGCCAUGUUUCUUGAUUUUAAUUUUCAUAAAAUAAUUUUAUUAAAAUAAUUUUUUGUUAAGAAGAAAAAUAUAUAUUAUUAAAAUAUUAUUUAAUUUUUUUUUGAUUAAAUUAUUUUUAUUAUCCCUUUAUCUUUCUCCUUCAAACAAAUUUCAAGUUAAUUAGUUCACCUAUCCUAGGAGCCCAAAAAGUGGAUCCCACUCUAAUAGCCCUGAAUAAAUUAACUACAUGUAUUAAGAUACGAAGGCUUCUUAUUCCACAACAACGAAAACACUUUUUCAUAUACUAGGGGAUUUCACUUGGAAAAGAAAAUGUUCCAUACUAAUGGAUUCGGGUCCAUAACCGUGGGUUCCAAUGCAUGAGAUCUUGUAGCACUUACCAAUGAGGCCCUAUCGAUUAGUAUUACACAGAAGAAUCAAUUAUAGACACUAAUACAAUUAGAUCUGCUCUUCAUAGACAAACUUGGGAUUUGCGAUCCCAGGUAAGAUCGGUUCCUCUUGAAUACCUUGAAUGCCUCCCAUGUGAGAUUUGGUUCCUCUUGCUCCAUCUGAUAGUACCAUAAUUGCACCUCACCCAGCAUGUGAAGCUGCCACAACUAACAUUGUCUAUUUUCACUGUCUGUUGAUUAGAAAAGAAAUUCUCACAUUAGUGUAACCAAAUUAACGGGUCCUCUGAUCCAUCAAAGGUUGGAACACGCUUUGUGUACCACGGCACUACUCCAAGCCCUGUCUGCAGUUCCAUUCGAUUGUUUGUUCUAUAAUGGUUACUGCUACUUGUACCCCCAUUGUGCCUCUUUCAUGGUUUCAGUUAAAACCAACAAAAAGUUCCCGUAAUUGUAGCAACAGUUGUUGCAACUGAUUUUCCAAUUUAGACUUGAUUUAUGCAAUGUUUGCUGCCAUUUGUGACUUUGCUUUUACUGCUCUUUCUUCGAACAAGGCCCUCUCCUGUUUAGCAUUAGAAUUGCAUAAGUGUCUGUAUCUGAUGUCAAGUUAUGUUCAAGGGUUAUGGAUAAAGUCAUCAAGCGAUUCACUUGAAAAUCUACUUCGAUUGAUGGAGCCUUUCCCUUGUUGCAAUUUCUACCACAUGAACCUAUAAUAAUAUAUGGAACUCGUCGAGGGAGCUCCUAAACUUAGAACUUGUUGAAAAAAGCUCUUAACCUUAGACUCUUAGGAAGAGUAUUUUAAACCUCUUUAUUUUGAAUUAAAUUAUUUUCAAAUCUGUGCAUAAUCAAUUAUAAAUUUGGUAAAACAAUAUUAUUUCAAAUAAUGAUAUUUAUAAUCAAGAUGAAAUUAAAAUAUCACAUUAUCUUUUAUCCGUAGAUUAUGUAAAUAUAGAAUGAUAUUAUUGAAAUUUAACUUAAUGAACUACAGUAAGCUAAUAUGGCAUUACACAUGUGAUAGUAAGUUUAUAUAUUAGAUUUUGGAAAUAGGAAAACUUAAUUUAAUGAAUUUAAUAGUUACCAUUUUUUUAGUAUUGAAAUUGAAAUUUUAAAAUUAAAAAAGUGCAGGGACUAAAAAAGCUCAAAUUAAAUUAGAACUAAAUCUAUAAUUUAUGCAUAGUAUAGGAACUAAUAGAAAAUUUUAACCUAUCUAAUAUGAUUAUUAGAGUUUUAAUAAUUAGGUGAAGUUGAAUAGUACAUUAUGCUUAAUAAUAAGUUUACAAUUAUUAUUAUGAAGUUUUGACUAUUAUCUGUUAAGCUUAACAAUAAAUGCUUAAUUUGUACUUUUUACAAAUGAUUGUGUAAACUAAUCUACUUCGAUUAUUAUCAAUACUAUCAUGUAAAUGCUUAAUUUUUGACAAUUAUUAAUAUGCCUUCUAUGUUAGGUGAAAUGCAUAUCAUAAAAUAAUUUUCAUAUAAUUGAUGUAAUUUAAUUUUUUAAAGAAAAAGUCAUAAAAUAUUAAAUAUAUGAUAUGACACAUGGAGGUAUUUUAAGCAGUUCACAUGUCAAAAUUUUAGAUCAUCCACAUAAGAUAUAUUUCAUUUUUAUUAGAGGAUUUGGCUUUAAAUAUUAUAUAUAAAGUAUAAGGGACUAAAAUAAACUUAUUUUUCUUGUCUUGCCUACAAAAGGCAACUGUAACAUCGUGGUUCUGCAAUCUUGAUGAUGCAAAGCCCUGUAGGGAGCCUAGACACAUACGCGCAUUUACAUGCUUACUUUCCAACUUCCAAAAUUUUCUUCAAGCAAUUUGGCAGUCCCCUGUUGCAUGACAUUGCCCUGAGGGCUACUUCUUGAAAUUAUAUGAAGCAAGGCUUCAUAUGGUCAUUGGUUCAAAAUUUUCAGAAGUAGAUAUUUUAGUUUCUUUCUCUGAUACUUUUCUCCAUUUUUCUGUCAUCUAGAUAAUGAUAGGAAAGUACAGUUGAUCACAGGCAUUGAUAAUAGUACCAACAAGAAAUCUGAUUGGUGAAUUUAUUUUAUUAUUAUAUUAUUAUUUUUUGCAGCAUUAUUCUUUUACAUGGUCCCCCAGGGACCGGAAAGACAUCUCUAUGUAAAGCGCUGGCACAAAAGCUAUCCAUUAGAUUCAGCUCCAGGUUUUUUGUUAAUUUCAUUGUCUGAUGCAUUUAUCUCUUUAAGGUCCUAUACUUAUCUUGUCAGAUGAUUGGUUUUAACCUUAUUUUGUUUUCGGGUUGCCAUUCUUUUUUCAGAUAUCCACAAUGCCAAUUGAUUGAAGUUAAUGCACAUUCUUUGUUUAGUAAAUGGUUCUCUGAGAGUGGCAAAUUGGUAUGUCUCUGUAUCAAUUUGUUGAACUUAUAACAGAAAUGUAAUGAACUCCUGGAUGUUAAUGAUAUGUAGUUUACAUUCUUUACCCCGGUCUUAUAGGUUGCAAAGCUUUUCAAAAAAAUUCAAGAAAUGAUAGAAGAAGAAAACAAUCUAGUAUUUGUUCUAAUUGGUGAGUCUUUUAUUACUGAGGGUUUUGAUCAUUUCUGGUCUUUUUUAGCGUAUGAUUCUUUAGAUGUGAUGAUGUUUCUGCAGAUGAAGUUGAAAGUCUUGCUGCUGCUAGAAAGGCUGCUUUGUCUGGUUCUGAGCCUUCAGAUUCCAUUCGGGUAUGGUUUUGUGCAGCAUUAGACUACUUUGUAAAUUCUUUCUUAAAUGCACUUCUUUAUGUGAGUGGGUAUAUUUAACUCAACUUUACACCUAAUACAACUUGAAAAUGUACCUCAGGUUGUAAACGCGCUAUUGACUCAGAUGGAUAAGCUGAAAUCAUCUCCCAAUGUUAUAAUUUUGACCACAUCCAAUAUAACUGCUGCUAUUGGUAAGCCUAUAAUCUAUUUCAUAUUGGUUCCUUAUACUGAAAGUGUUGUAUUUACUUGAACUCUGCAAGUUUGCAUGGUAAUUUUGUCAUUAUCUCCUCUUGGAUUAGUAUUGGAAUCUUCUAACUGUUAGAAACUUUUAUCAGAUAGUCUUACUGUUAGAAACUUUUAUCAGAUAGUCUUUCUUUUUUUCUAAUGCAAAGCGUACUGCUACCCAUAGCCUCUCUCCAUUCUUAAAUCAGAGAAAAAGUUGUGCUUAAGCGCUCUCAAACCCACGACCUCCUAAUUGUUGCAAUAGUAAUGAUGCCGAUUGAGCCUCAGAGAGUCCUCUUAUAUUAUGUAUUGAGGGAUAUUUUACAUUUCUGCAUCUUGUUACUAUUUUUGUAGUUAUGAAUGUCACUUUUCUGUGAAAAGUCCUCAUUGUUGGGAAUUGGAAUAUGUAAAUUUACUGAUAGUAUUGCAGAUAUCGCUUUUGUUGACCGAGCUGAUAUCAAAGCAUAUGUGGGCCCUCCAACUCUUCAAGCUCGUUUUGAAAUUUUAAGAUCCUGCUUGCAGGAACUUAUUCGGAAAGGAAUAAUAUCAAAUAUCCAGGUAAGGAUGCAGAACUAUGCUUAAGACCACCAUGGUUUCAUCUCUUUACUUAAUGCCCAAGUCAACUAUGGAUUUCUUUAGGGUUCAAGCCAAUACAUCCUUUCAGACUAUGUUACUUUGAAAGAGAAAUUGAAAAUGCAUGAGAUUCAUGAAGUUCAAACAACAUUUCAUCUGUGUAAGCAAUUAGCAGAGGCUGCUGAAGCAUGUGAGGUUAGAAACCGAAGCCCUGACUGAGAGCACAUUGAAUCUAGCAAGGCUUUUGGUGAAAUAAUUAGUGUAUGUUUGUUUACAGGGAUUGAGUGGAAGAACAUUAAGAAAACUACCAUUUUUGGCGCAUGCAGCACUUGACAACCCGUAUUGUUGUGACCCUAACAAGUUGUUGAACACAAUGAUUGACACAGCCCGGAGGGAGCAUUCUGAACUGCCCGACUGAAGUAAUGGAGUUUUGUUCUGGUGUAAAAUGGAUGGUUCUUAUGCUGAAAAUGUUAAAUCUUUAGCGAUACCCACUGCCAUUGAUGCCUUGUCUAUCUUGACUUUAAAUCCUCGCGUGUAAUGAGAUUACAGGUUAUGGGAUAGAGUCGUACACAAGAUGCAGAUGGACUAAAGCUAACAAUUAAAUCAUGUUUGUUUUGUUUUCAAGCAUAACAAAAUUAAAAACCUAAACAAAGCACACAAUAAUAUAAUAGACUCGAGCAGUUAUUCAUUUAACUCAAACAAGCAAUUAGAUUAUCAAGGCAUUGGUACAAAAUGUUAUAAUAAUGAUAAGGUUGCAAGGCACAAAUAAAAUAUAAGUUAAGGGUGUUAUUCAUGACAAAAUGAUCCUACAAACUUACACAAACUAUUUGGCGUGAAAAAAAAUGGAUUUUCAUGCUUGUGUGCAAUCUGAUUAUAAGUUAGUAAAAUAAAAAUUAAACAAAUUAUAAGCAUGCACAACAGAAGAAAUAAAACAUAUAUCAUUUGGAUUCUAUCUCGAAUUUGUUAAAAACAUAUAAUAACAUUGAUUAAAAAAUAUUUCUAGAACUAUGGUGAUUGGCAUCUUAAAUCAAUUUCCUUAGCUUUUAUAUCAACAUUAAGUUCGGUUGUUGAAAACUUGUAGCCGUUUAAACAGUAAGUCCCAACAGUUAUCUACAUCAGGCAUAAAAUAACUUUUGUAAGGUCAAGAUUCACUUUACUAAGGUAGUGCUAACUAUUUGGUCAUACGAAUCCAUAUUUUUAUUUUUAAUGUCUAAACAAAAAAGUUGAAAAACUUGAAAAAGAAUAACGAUAGAAAUUUUCCUAAGUCUUCUAAAAGUGUGCGAUAAGAGAAAAAGCAAGGAGAAAAAUAAUCUUUACAUCCAUGAAGAUUAAAGAGGGGCGUCAAAAGAAAAUAUAUAAAUUAGGUUUUUUAAUCAACUUUAAGUAAGUUCUACUAUAAAUAACUAAUUUUUUCCUGGUCCCUUGACUCGAAUUUCACAGUAUAUUCUUCAAAUUUUCUGAUAACUAGUUUUGUGUAAGAUUUUGGACCAAUUUGAAUUUCUAGUUUAACCUUGGAACUAAAUUGGAUUCCAAUUUGGUUUUAGAGAUGGUAAGUUUAAUAAACACUAACAAGGAUGAAUUGUUAUUUAAAACUGAACGGAAGAAAGCUCAAUUAAAAUUAACACACUGAAUUUAUUGUAGUUUGGCUCAUGGUAGUCGGUUUCGCACCAUUUCUAGUUAUGUCGGUUAGUGCGCACUGUUCUAGUACUAAAACAGAACAAGCAAUACCAUUUUCUGCAUUGGUGAAAAUUUUGCCAAUCACAUUGGCUCAUUUCAAUCACACUGAUUGGAACAUAGUGCAUCAGCCAUUACAUGAAUAAUAUUAAAAAGUAAGAAUUUUUUUAACUAUUUACUAUUAUGCUAAUAACUUAAUUAGAAUGUAAUAACCAAUAAAAAAAAGAAUACAGUGAAAAGUAAUAUCUAACAUUUUAAACUUCAAUUUAUUUUGGGACAUACUUUCACAUUUAAAAUAAAAAAUCUAUAAUAUAAUAAAAAAAACUUACCCCAUUAUCAAAGAAAAAAUUCUCACUACCCUUUGACUUCUGUUAUAAAAAAAAAUCUCCCUUCACCCUUCACCCUUCAACUUCUUUUUUUCUUAUUAAUUGUAGAUUUAUUGAAUUAUGUAUUUUUAUUUGUGGAGUUUAUUGAUGAAUAUUUUUAUUUAAAAUUUAUUUAAAAUUUUGGUAAUUGUAAAUAUUUUUAUAUAUAUAUAUACAUUAAAUUAAAAAUAGAUUAAUCUGAAAUAGUAUAUUGAAAUAUACUUGUCUAGGCUAAGUGUGCCAAAGUCUUUCCCAAGUAAAGAUUGAAGGCUAACUCGGACUUCUUUAUUCUUGGAACUGAGCCUAAGACCGCAGACGAACAGAGUUGGCUCGUGACAAGUGGUAUUAAAGCUUGCGUUUAGUCCCAUGGUAGUGAAUGAUGGUGACCAAGUUCGAGAAGAUGAACAAGCAAGAGGACGAUGUGGUGGAGAGGCAAGGUGCUGCAAAGGGCAAGAAAGGAAGCUCGAAGGACUUUGUGAAGAUCGUUGAGACCCAGAUGGCCAAGGUCGAGUAUACUAUGAGUGAUGUCCUUAUGUGGGUGGAGGACACCGAGGAUUCCCUUAAGGAGAUCAAGUUUAACAAUGAUGGAGUCUCGAGAUGAGCUUAGAGGAGCUACAAUAGGAUGUGAGGGAAACCUUAGGGGAUCUUGCUUGGAAGAACAAGACCCUCGAGGCGUUGGUGGAAGUGAUGUGUGGCGAGAUCAAGAAGCUCAAGAGUGAACUUUUGAGCGUAAAGACAACAAAGAGUGGUGGCGUGUUGAUGAUUUCAAACUACAAGUUGAUUGCUGACACCAGAGGAGUUCAAAGGCAUGAAGGAUGCCGAGAAAUUCCUUGGAUGGUUAUUGAACAUUACUAGAAUCAUGAUUUAUCUUAACUCAAAUCAUUGUCUUCAUGUAUGAAAACGAAAAUGAAAAUUUUGCUCUCAGCUUGUCAGCUUCUGUAUAGGAUGGUCUAAUAUAGUCUCAAAUUUUGAUUUCCGAUUCUUUGGUUUUUUUUAUUUCUGAUGUACAAGUAGAGACAUUUUCGGUUCUAUGGUUUUCUCAUUUGGAAGGGGACUACAUGCAAACGAAUGGCAAAGAGCAACAUUUGCUCAAGAGGUAGUCAUGUCAACAUCUUCUGAGCUUAGCAUAAACAUAUAUAUUCAUCAAAAGGUAAUGCAUGCCUGUAUUCAGGUCUAGAGUAGAAUUUACUAUAUAUAUAUACACACACAUAUAUGAAGUCACUGUAUACUGAGUGUACAAACUCUGUUUCAUAAAUUAAGCUGAGAUAUGUCUUGUUUUAUUUAUUUUUCAUUAUUCUCCACCCGUGUUUUGAUACCAUCAGCUUGUUAUGCCUUUGUACAUCCAUUUUAAUCCAUAAAACCACAAAAUUUACAAACAAACAGAUCUUGGCCAGAAUGUGAAUAAUGUAACAGAUCAUAUGGCCGGAAAGAAUGUGAAUAAUGUACUUUGCUACAUGCCCCAGGCUGGAGAUGGAGCAAAGCUUGCUGAACACCGACUAAAAGAAUAGCAUGUAUAUAUGAAUAUAUGCUUGUCAUGGACAAUAGACAAGAAAAACCUAGAAGAUUAAAUGAAUUCCUCGAGGGGACUACCGUAGGUAAACCAUGAGGAACAUCAAAUGUUCUAGAGCAAGCAAAAGGUAUGAUUAAGAAUUAGCUAUAACAGCAAAAGCAACAGAGAUAUAAAAUCACAUCGAAUUGUGACAUGAAUAUUACCAAUCCAACUAGAUUAGACAUGAGUCUGAAGCAAAAGAAAUACAAAACUCCAAAAUAUGACAUUGGAAUGAAAGAGGUUCUAUAAAUGGUGACGAAACUAAUUGCAUGACCUUGACAUUUGGCAUAUGAAGGUUCUUUGACAUCACUGCAACAGCAAUAACAUAUCCUGCAACGCCAAAGUAUCCUAAGAUCACUCAAUAAUAGACUGAAUAACCCCGGCUCCAACUGUCUUCCCUCCUUCUCUAAUAGCAAACCGCAUCCCUUGCUCACAAGCCACAGGCAUGAUAAGCUCAACUACCAUCUUUACACGGUCACCAGGCAUAACCAUCUUAGACUCCUCAUCCUUAUCAUUCAUAAUGGAAGCCACCCUUCCAGUGACAUCAGUGGUCCUCAUGUAGAACUGAGGCCUAUAACCUGCGAAGAAGGGAGAAUGUCUGCCACCCUCUUCCUUCUUCAACACAUAGACAAUGGCGCUGAACUUGGUAUGCGGAGUGAUUGUCCCUGGUUUAGCCAAAACCAUCCCUCUCUGAAUAUCGGCCUUUUGAACACCUCUAAGUAACAACCCAACAUUAUCACCAGCCAUGGCGUCAUCUAAUGUCUUUUGAAACAUUUCCACACCAGUAACUGUGACGUUCCUUGUAUCCUUCAAUCCAACAAUGUCAACAGUCUCUCCAACCUUAACAGUACCUCUCUCGAUACGACCAGUGGCAACAGUACCACGACCAGUGAUGGAAAACACAUCCUCAACAGCUAACAAGAAAGGCAAAUCUGUUUGUCUUUGAGGAACAGGAAUGUAACUAUCAACAGCAUCCAUAAGUUCAUAAAUCUUAUCCACCCAUUGGUUUUCACCUCUAGGAAUACUGGGCUUAGCCAUCAAAGCUUCUAAAGCUAAAAGUGCGGAGCCAGAAAUAAUAGGGACAUCAUCACCGGGAAAUUCGUAACUAGAGAGCAAUUCACGCACCUCCAAUUCCACUAAUUGCAAAAGCUCUUCAUCAUCUACCUGGUCUUGUUUGUUCAAAAACACAACCACGUUAGGGACACCGACCUGUUUAGCCAACAAGAUAUGUUCUUUAGUCUGAGGCAUGGGUCCAUCGGCUCCGGAAACAACCAAGAUAGCACCGUCCAUUUGGGCAGCUCCGGUAAUCAUGUUUUUGACAUAAUCAGCGUGCCCUGGGCAGUCGACGUGGGCGUAAUGGCGAUUUUCGGUUUCGUAUUCAACAGUGGCGGUGUUAAUGGUGAUGCCACGGGCACGCUCUUCAGGGGCGGCAUCAAUUUCGUCGUACUUUUUUGGGGCACUGUUACCCAUGGAAGCUAAGGCCAUAGUUAGAGCGGCAGUUAAGGUGGUUUUGCCGUGGUCGACAUGGCCGAUGGUCCCGAUGUUAACGUGGGGCUUUUUGCGUUCGAAUUUCCCACGGGCAGCUUUGACGGUGAAAGAAUCGCGACGGCGAGGGAAUACGUAAGUGGUGGCAACGGUAGUGAGGAAAGGAGGGAGGAAGGGAGAGGAGAGGUGGGUAGGGGUUAGUUUAGAGGGAAUUGAGGAGAAAAAGGCAGAGGUGGUGGUUGAGGAGUGAGUUGGGAAAGGGGAGGCGUGUGGGUAUCUAAGCUUAGAAGAAGCGGCAGUGGCUGCUGCUGUUGAUGAAAUUGCCAUUUCCUUGUAGAGGAGAGGAGAAGAGAGGAAAGGAGGGUUUUGGCCUUUGGCUUUGGAAAAUGAAGAAGAGAAGGUAAAAGAGAUUUGGGUUUGUGUUAUCUUAUUCCUCUGUGGCUUUGAGGAUGAGGGUUUGUGAAAUGGACGGACUAAAAAGAAAGGCUAA
rnacentral:lncRNA from 1 species